GCUUCGUUUGUCUGCCUCGCCGCUCAGUUUUUCUCAAGAACAGUCCGUCUCCCCGCCCACGUUCGCCGACAGACGCACCUCACCUCCUCCGUGCUGCACCCGGCCGCACCUCCUCCAUCCGCCCUCCGCCACUUAGCCAAGCCGUGCCUCACCUCCUCUGUCCUCCGAGCGCGGAACCACGCCCGCGCUUUCCCCGCCCGGCCGCACCUCCUACCUGCUACGCUCGGCCGCAGCUCCUCUGUCCGCCGCCAAGACGGGCCACCUCCGUCCGCUGGGCGUCCAACACCGGCGCGCCACUGCCCAGCUGCCCCUCCACACCCCUCCACACCGGCGCCAUCCCCGGCUGCUCCUCCAUGAAGGGAUCUCCAAAUUAGUCCCAUAUGCAGCGGAGGUGAGAAGAUGGAGGCACGAGAGGUGGGGCCUAUCUCGAGCCCGGUGUCAUCUGCCUUCAUGAAGGGAUCUCCAGGUUAGUCCCUUAUGCAUGCAAACAAAUCUAAUCAGCAGCCUCUCCUUUGCACCAACGAACAGAUCCAAUUGUUCUUGAAAAUCAGGUCCAAGUUCACAUCUCUUUUGCCCUCCCACUCAAAGCACAAUCAGCCAGCGCGACAGGGAUGGCGACACAGACACCGACGGCUGGAGCUCCCUCAAUGCUGCCAGGUAAUUGACUAGCCAAUUACUAUUUGGAUGUGAUGCACAUUGGUCACGGAUUUGUAAAUCUAUCAGUUCCUGCUUCCUGCAUCCAUUUGUGCAGUUCUUGUGGUGGAUGCAGUGCACUGAGUAUAGAAAUUAUUUUUGAUUACUUCUGUGAAACGUUUUGGCCUUGGCAAGUAUGUACAGAUUUAGUUGUUGUUUUUUCAGUCAGAGGUGAGCUACGUGUAUGGGAAAGAAAAACUUGAUUGCUUGUUCUAGAUCUUGCCUUCAUAUAAACUGUGAUGCUAUCAACAUGGAGAUUUGAUGCAUUCUACUCUCUCUCUAUUUAACAUGGAAAAGAACUCGUGUUUACUCAAUAAUGCUUAUGAAUUUUCCUUAGAGUUGCAUUUAUUCAUCAUUCUAAAGUAUUCCGUGUCAAGUAAACUCAUACUUCUAAUUUUUCAAAAAAAAAAUCUGAAAUCAAUGAACCCCUCCUUCCUUGUGAAAUUGUUGUACCUUUUUUCUUAUGACAUCUUAUCUACUUCCACUUUCCUGGUGCAGAAUUUUUGAAAGUAGGAAACGUAAGCAAUGACAGUGACAGUCGCAGCAAUACUGAGCUCAAUAGGUGAACUAGACAAACCAUUCUGCUGUAGUUCAUUUUAUCACUGCAGUCAUCGUCAGACAAUGAGGUCAGAACCAGCAGGUUCGCAGAGUGACUUGUGACUUGUGGAUAAUCCUGCAGAUUCAACAAUGGUAAAGUAACGAAUGGUUAAGGUAUAAGUAGAUUUACUCAAUUAUACUCCAAUAGCUAAUGCAUUGCAUAUAUUGCUUGGCCGUGUAUAUAAAUAUUACAUCACUGUUCAACAUAAGUAAAUAGCUUAGUCCUUCUUAAGUCCAUUUUGGUAAAAGCUAUAGUUCAAUUAGUUUUCUUGAUUUUCUUAAAAUUUUACUCAAAGUUUGUGCCUUAUGUUGUACAUUUGCCUCACGGGCUGGCUAACUGACCUACAUGAGGCUGGCCAACUGAUCUGGAGGUUCACUAUCUAUGUUCUUUCAUUUCAUUGUCAAACAUAGAUAUUCUAAAUCUGAAAGUCUGUCGAAAUUUCCUAUGGAGUCUUGUGGUACCUUUAGUGUUUCUUAUCAUGUCCAGUAGAAGGUCUUGGAAAACAUAUUUGCAAUACAUGAUAUUUUUUAAAUCAAAAGUAGUAAUAUGCUGUGUAAUUGCCUUCUUGCCUCCUGACAUGUGGCAAAUUCAUUGAGCGUUUUCACUUACAUCGCUGGCAUAUUCAGUGAACAACGCAAAGAUGAUGGUUUUGAGUGAGAGGUCCUUUGGUCAAGGUAAUUUCAGAGCAUUGAUUUUCAAUGUACUUGUAAACCCAAGAGAAAGUUGAGCAGGCCACAUUCAGUUGUUAACUGGACUGUUGGCUUGCUGCUAUGGCAACAUGUUUUCAGCCUUAUUAUUACUUGCCGAGUUUACAUUGGGAUCUGAAAACUGGACUGUGUGCCAUUAGUUUUGUCUGUCUCCAGGACAUUGCCCAUGCACAUGAACUGACUGAUUACCAUGAAAAUUCACCUGUUUCAGUUCCAAACUAAUUAUUGCUUCAAGGUCACAAAGCUAUAUGAAAAUCUGUAUCCAAUUGAAUGCCGGAACUCUCUAGGAUGAUGUCAGGCAUUCCCAUUUAUAGGUUAACCUGAAGUGAUUCUUGAAGAUUAGUUUCUGCGUGGUUGAUUUGAAUUGUUUGUAAUAUUGUAUGCUUCAUCUUGAUUACUAUCAAUUUCACAGGUCAUGUUCAUUGUGAGGAAUGGAGCGCAAUAAUGCUUUGUGGUAACUCUGGGCAGACGAAAAUAGGCCACCUCUACCAUUUUCUUGAUAUUUAUUUUCUGAUAUCUGACUAUUGUAUUUGUCGUGAAAUUUAAAUUGUAGACGCUAUCAGAUCAUGUGUCACUUCAUGCUUUGAUCAUGUGAAAAAAUUCAGUGUAUUUACCCAUGAUCGGUGCCUUGCCCCGAGGGGUCUUUAAUUCCUGGAGGGGUCUUUAAUUCCUGAAUUAGGCAACGGUGAAUUUUCUUCUUAAUAUAUAGAUGCGCAGCUCUCCCGCAUGUUCGAGAAAAAUGAGGCAACAGUGACACAGCGCUGGUAGAAAGUAGAAAGUGAAGAAGCGGUUUGAGCAUAUUGCUACUGACAGCUACCUCCGCAAGAUUUGGCCGGUACUGCAAGCUCUGAGUUUCACAACUCUGAACCACUUGGUAAAAAACAGUCUGAAUUUUGUGUUGUGAUUAACUGACUAGACAUCCGAAUAAAUUAAUGUACUGAUAUUCUGAAAUUUGUUUUAGCACUGGGACUCUCUGGACUAUCCGGUGGAAUCAGGCCUUGGCAGGACUGAGGCAGAUGUGGGGGGUGACACCGUGCAGGUGAGGUGGUGGUGGUAUCUGGCUCUGGCAUCUCCCUUUAUCCGCUUGAUGGAAUGGCAGCAUGGGUAUGGAGACACCUUCAGCAUCUAAACAAAGCCCAAAAGGUACAAAGAUACUAUUUAAUCACUUUUGAUUUGUUAAUUUGCUAUCAUAUAAAUUGCAGUAACAGGUCUUGAGUAAUAUGUCAAUGCUAUAAUUUUGCUUGCUUGUUGUGUGUCCUCUCUAAAAUCUUUUCUUUACCAUAUAUAUCCAUAUGCACAAGAUAUUUGCAGUUACAAGUAUAAUCCUCAAGGAGUGAAAAGCUUGUGAUUCUGUCCGUGCAGGCAACAGGCAUUGAUCGCUAAUCAGCAUGGCCUCCACAAGUACCCAUCAUGGGAAGUGCAGCAACCAGUAUUGUGUUCAAACCUGAAGAAAAUAUAUGGGGAUGGCUGGGUGGCUGCACAGCUCAUGGCAGGGACCAAUUUGGAGUCUGCAUCUUCUUUCCCAUAUAUAUAUGAUAUUUCCAUAUACUGUCAGGAUGCUAUUAAACUGCCUUCACCAGAUUACAAUAAACUGUGAACUUCAGAACUUUAAUUUUCGAUAAGUUGGAGUCGACGCUUAAAACUUCAGAGCUUUAUUUACUCCUAUGUACCAACAGCUCUAAAUUUUUGUGCACUGCACCCUUAGUUUUUUAGUGAACAAUACUGAUUGCUGAGGUUAUAAUGCAUCUUUCUAUGUGGGACUAUAGUUUUGUCAAGUAAGGCUAUGUACACAUUGAUAAAUCUGCUUCAGAAUAAUAUUGCUAAUAUCUCACUAUCUGAAGAAAGUCAGGUUUAUCAGUUAUUUAUAGAAGACUUGCUUGUUAGAAAGGACCUAAAUAGGUUUUCUUUGUCUAUGUGAAUUUUCGGGGAAUUCUGCUUAUCUUCCACGGAUAGAUGCUACUUCUCCUGUAAUAUUGAAUUGGGUCAUGUGUGUGUCAGCUCUUUGCUUGCCAAAGGAGCUUGUGACUUGCAACUACUACUACUUAUUCAAUGAUCUCUAAUAAUUGAAUCAUUUUGUUCAGAUUCUAAUUAUCAGGUCUUUUCCUCAUCUCUUUAUGUUUUGAGGUGUUGGAUGAGAAAGGGUUAAUGGUGGUUGCUACCAUUCUACAAGAAAUUAGAGAUUGUCAUUAUGAGUGCUGUAGUUGAAGUGGGGUUAAUGUUAAACCAUGAUGGUACCAAGGAGACUUCAUCCAUUUGAAUAUUCUACACUCAAGAAACAGAAAGGUGACAGUUGUCAAAUACAUAUUAUGAACUAGCUGAAAUUAAAAUAUUCUUGUAUUCCUUAGAUUAUUUGUGUCAUGCAAACUCCACUUUAGAAAAUUCCAUUCUAAAUUGCUGUGUGAGAUUAUGUACCAUUCUAAUAUGAUCUCAUGGGGGAAUUAUUUAGCCCAUAGCAACGCACGGGCACGAUCCUAGUGGAAUUGAAAAGAAUAGAGAUCGCGUAUGACAAGAGUACUCUAGGUAAUAUUUCUUCAAAUACCGAUUCAGCUCCCUCAUUUUCACUUCAAUAUUUUCACCAAUGGUAUAGAAAUAGAACUUGAUGAAUUCCACGUCUCAUCGAGCAAAACAUCUCGAAUUGCUAGCAACAUCUUCAAGAAAAGGUGGGCUGUAGGAUGCCUGUUUGCGGAGAAUGCUUUGGUUGCCUCACUUAAAGCAUCACGAAUGUCCUUUACUGCUUUGUUAUUCACACUAGCAUUGUCUAAUGUCAAGGUAAACAGCUGUUCAAUCAACUCCCACUUCAUCAACCACAACUUCUUGUCCUAGAUCCAUAUCACCUAGAUGACACAACUUCUUAGCCUUCGGCCUAGUAUCUUCCAAGUGAACAAAAGAGCCUGGAAUGUGAAUAAGAUCAACAAAUUUGAAUAAAAUACCAACUUGUUUUGGUUUUACUGACUGCUUGUAUUUUUAGUACUACAAUGAGUAGGUUUGAAGAAAAUAUGAUUCUGUAUAUGAUGCAGUUGUUUUGGCUCACAGCUAACUGUAUUUUGUUCCCAUGAUAAAAAAAUUCUGAUCAGAAAUCUUGUUUUUUCACUUCAGAUUAGAAGUAAUGUAAGAUGUCAGAUUAAUGGACGAUGAGGAGCAUAAGUUUUAGGCUUCGAGGACACAGUGCCCCUCCAAUUGCAUACUGAUACUGCUAAAACGAAAGGGGACUGAGGUGACUGGGAUAUCAUCAGUAUCAGAUAUACUAGCAGCUAUGUUCAUGAGCUUCUAUGUGGUGAAACAAGCUGGAGAUGACUAAGGUAUAGGAGCUUUUUUUCACAGAACAGUAGGACCAUUUUCACGAGAUUCAACUGCCUGAUCUUAACUGAAUGGUAAACAUAAGCAAUACCAGUAUGCAACCAACAAAAGAUCUUGCACUCCCAUCUUACAUUCUCUAAAACAGUAACAAUUCUAAGUUCACAGAUCUAGUGGUACUAAAAAGCUCAAUGAACGAAUUUAAUUUGCCAAUGCCAUCCUCCUGCUCUACAAAACCCAAAAACUCAAGCAGAUUGAAGCUGCAAAGGAGAGUUUAAAAAUAGCCAACACUAGCAGAAUACUGCACGAACUAGGCACAGCGCAGUAUAAACAAAAAGACAAAUAGGAAAGGCAAACACAUCAGAUGAAAAUCACCUGCACGCCGACGCCACCUGCGUCCGCUGCUGAGGCCGCCUGCUCUUGCUGGCCGCCGCGCGUCGGCCUAGCCGCACGCCCUGCCGGAGCCCGCCGGGGGCCGGCCCCACGGGAGCGCCUCGCACCCCCGCACCGCCCGGAUCUUGAGUUCUUGCGCCGCCGCCGCCGCCGCACGAGCCUGGAGAGGCCGCGAAAAAGAGGAGAGCCCCUUUCCUGCGAUCCACGGGCUCAGCCCUUCCAAUUGACUCAAGGAUCGAUUAUGGGCCACGUUCACAGGUCAGCCCUUUUAUGGAGAUGGCCCGAUCUGAUCCUGCCCAUUCUUCGGGAAGGCCUUUUAAGGCUCGGCCUAUAUGAGCUUGUAAGGCCCGAUCGGUUUGGCCCUUGGAUUUUCCAGGCUUAAGUAUAGGUAUAAGGUUUUCUACGUAUCUAAAAUAUUUUCCACUAGAAAAGGUUUUCUACGUAUGUAAAAUAUUUCCACUUGACUACCCGAUAAGGCAAUCAUUCGUGUGGCACAUGCCCGGGGCCUACUCGGAAAGUGAGUGCGCAUCCUCUCACAUGAUUGGACACAUCCACUUGACUCCUCAAAGGUCGUCAAUGCUUGCAGCUUGCAUUUUCCACAGAAGCAGCAGCUCUUGAACCCACUGUCCAGCAUCUCCCUCUCCACCCACCAACACUGUGUUUCCCUGUCUACUGCGCGUGUGUUUUGGAGCUCCCGGCGUAGCCAUGGCUGAGGUACUGGCCACCAUGGUGGUCGGGCCACUGGUGUCCAUGGUGAAGGAGAAGGCCUCCAGCUACCUCCUGGACCAGUACCAGGUGAUGGAGGGCAUGGAGGAGCAGCACAAGCUCCUGAAGCGCAAGCUGCCGGCCAUCCUCGAUGUCAUCGCCGAUGCCGAGCAGCAGGCGGCGAAACACAGAGAAGGGGCCAAAGCUUGGCUGGAGGAGGUCCGGACGGUGGCCUACAAGGCGAAUGAUGUCCUCGACGAGUUCAAGUACGAGGCGCUUCGCCGCAAAGCCAAGGUGGAGGGCCACUACAAGGCGCUCGGCAUGGAUGUAAUAAAGCUCUUCCCUUCUCACAACCGUGUUGUGUUCCGUUAUAAGAUGGCAAAAAGGCUCUGCAUGAUCUUGCAAGAAAUUGAUGUCCUCAUCGCAGAGAUGAAUGCGUUCAGGUUCAAAUUCAAACCGCAGCCGCAAAUGCCCAUGCAAUGGAGGCAGACGGAUGCUUGCAUCCCCACUGAGUCUGUGGAGAUUGCCAGCAAAUCAAGAGCUCAAGAGACGAAGGUUCUUGUUGAUCGAUUGCUUGCUGGAGCCAGCAGUAAGGAUCUCAUGGUCCUUCCGAUAGUCGGAAUGGGGGGGUUGGGCAAGACCACCUUAGCACAGCUCGUUUACAAUGACCCUGAAAUUCAGAAGCAUUUCGAGUUGCGGCUCUGGGUGUGUGUCUCUGAGGAUUUUGAUGUGGAUUCCCUGGCUAACAGAAUAGUGAAAGAGAAUGGUUGUAAAGCAAGUGAAAGUUCAUCAGCACUGGACAAUCUUCAAAAGGCAGUGAGUGGGAAGAGGUACCUCCUCGUAUUGGAUGAUGUGUGGAACCGUGAUGAGCCCAGCAAGUGGGAAAGGCUCAAGUCCUACCUUCAGCAUGGUGGCAGCGGUAGCUCAGUGCUGACAACAACUCGCGAUGAAGCUGUUGCUAAACUAAUGAUGGGUACAACUGAAAGAGCCUAUAAACUUGGAAGCUUGGAUGAAGAGUCCAUAGGGAAAAUUAUCAAGGCAAGAGCAUUCGGUUCAAAACAAGAAAAGGAAUGGCCUGGUGAGCUAGUUCACAUGGUUGGUGAAGUUGCCAAGAGAUGUGCUGGUUCUCCUUUAGCUGCUACAGCAUUGGGCUCUUUACUGAGUACCAAGACCAGCAAGCAAGAAUGGAAGGAUGUACUAAAUGGAAGCACGAUUUGUGAUGAGGAAAAUGGGAUUUUACCAGUACUUAAACUAAGUUACAAUUGCUUGCCAUCAUACAUGCGGCAAUGCUUUGCUUUCUGUGCUAUGUUUCCCAAGGAUUAUGAGAUUGACGUGCAAAUGCUAAUCCACUUGUGGAUGACCAAUGGUUUUAUCCCAGAGCAAUCAAAAGUGUGUCCUGAAACUUUUGGAAAAGGAAUUUUCAUUGAGCUGAAGUCAAGGUCAUUUUUUCAGGAUUUGAAGAAUGUCCCAUUUUACGAAAAUGGAUAUUCUAUUCAUGGAGAGGGUGAUGAGCACAGGUAUUGUUCUAGAAUUACUUGUAAGAUCCAUGACCUUAUGCAUGAUGUUGCACAGUCUGCUAUGGGAGAAGAAUGUGCUGCAAUAGCUACACACCCAAGUGAAAGAGAGGAUGUUCUUCGUUCAGCUCGUCACUUGUAUUUGUCAAUCCGUCGAUCAGAAACUCUUCUGAGUGCUUCCCAAGAGAAAGGAUCUCCAGCUUUCCAAACACUGAUUUGUGACGGAUAUGUAGGAGAUUUGAAGAUUUUAUCAAAAUACAAUUCUAUAAGAGCUUUAAAGAUCCGUUGUGGUUCAAUCCUAAGGCCGAAAUAUCUUCAUCACCUGAGGUAUCUUGAUCUCUCGAGAAGUGAUAUUGAAGCACUUCCUGAAGACAUUAGCAUCCUAUAUCAUCUGCAAACACUGAACCUUUCUUACUGUGACUGGCUUGAACGGCUUCCAAAGCAACUGAAGUAUUUGACUGGCCUCCGUCACCUCUACACUCACGGAUGUGAAAAGUUGAAAAGCAUGCCUGCAGAGCUCGGACGCCUGACUUCCCUACAGGCGCUUACAUACUUUGUAGCAGGUACCGAUGACUCCGGUUGCAGUAAUUUGGGAGAGCUGCAGAAUUUGGACCUUGGUGGUACACUGGAGCUAGGAAAUCUAAAAAAUGUGACAGGAGCAGAUGCACAAGCAGCAGGUCUUGGAAACAAGAAAAAACUGACCCAACUGGAGUUAUGUUGGACUGAUAGUGACCAGGAAGCACAGAAUAAUAAUCAUAAAGAGGUGGUGGAAGGUCUCAAACCUCAUGAUGGGUUAAAGGCUCUGAGGAUAAAUCACUACGGGAGCACAACUUUUCCAACGUGGAUGAAUACUUUGAAAGGCAUGGUGGAGCUCACAUUAUUCCGUUGCAAAAAGCUCGAAGAGCUUCCUGCACUCUGGGAGCUAUCAGCUCUGCAAAUUCUUCACCUGAAGGGUUUGGAGAGUUUACAUUGUUUGUGCAGCGGUGGUACUACACCCAUCACAUUUCCAAAACUGAAUGUACUUAUCUUGUUAGAAAUGGCAAAAUUUGAGGCAUGGCGGGAGGCACAUGAGGUACAAGGAGAAGAGCCGAUAUUUCCCAAGGUUGAGGAGCUGGUGAUUAAGGAGUGUACAAGUUUGACUGCAUUACCAAAAGCAGCGUCGGUGAUUACAGAAUUGUCUGGCAGAGUUGACACUAAGUGCCGCUCUGCAUUUCCAGCAUUGAGGAAAAUGAAGCUAUAUAAGUUGACUGUGUUUGAAAGAUGGGAGGCAGGCGAAGGAAUUUCAGGCGAAGAGGUAACCUUUCCUCAGCUUGAGGAGCUGUCAAUCGAGUAUUGUGGCAGCCUGAGUGCACUACCAAAAGGGCCAUUUGGCGGAGCUGAAACUGUGUGUUGCUGCUCCGCAUUUCCAGCACUGAGGAAACUAGAGUUAUCUGGUUUGUUGGCCCUUGAGAGGUGGGGGGCAGCCGAAGGAACUCCAGGAGAAGAGGUAACAUUUCCUCUGCUGGAGAACUUGAGUAUCCAUGAUUGCCCGAGGUUGACUGAUCUACCUGAAGCACCGAAGCUAAGUGAAUUAUCCAUAAGUAAAGGACAUGGUCAACAACAAAUAUCCCUAGAGGCAGCUAGCAGAUGCAUCCCUUCAUUGUCCCGUCUGACUCUGACCGUGUCACCCGAUGACACAGAAACAACAUUGCUGCAUGUCAAGAAUAAAUUGAAUGGUACACUCGCCUUGGCAGCUAUGCGGUUAGGUCGGUGCGACAUUUUUUUCUCCUCCAGCUCAAGCGCACUGGCGCUAUGGACAUGUUUUGCACAGUUAGUAGAUUUGGAUAUUUGGGAUUGCGAUGCUCUUGUCUACUGGCCAGAAAACGUGUUCCAGGUCCUGGUAUGCCUGAGGAAGUUAGCGAUUUCCAGAUGCAGCAAACUGACAGGACGCACACAAGCUUCUGAUGAGCAAUCUGCUCCAGCUCCAGAACGUGGUGGACUCCUGCCAUGCCUGGAGUCUCUAGGGAUAGUAGAUUGUGAAUCUUUGGUAGAGGUCCCCAUCCCGGCAUCUCUCAAGAAAUUACGUAUUUGGGGCUGCAGUAGUAAUGUCGGGUCCAUCGUAUUUGGUCACCCGGAGGAUACGAGAUUGGUGAGUGGAGAAGGUGUUGUACGGCCGAAUACGUCAUCAUUAAUUCCAGGGUCCAGCAGCAGUGAGGCCACAGCGUCUACAGCUGUACUGAAGCUGUCAUCUGCAGCCAACCAUCGCUUCCUUCCAUUUCAAUGCCUAGAAUUUCUAGGUAUAGCGUGUUGCAGUGGCUUGUCAGAGGUUGCCAAUCUUCCUCCGUCUAUCAAGACCUUGCGCAUUUGUGGCUGCGGCAAGUUUCAAUCCCUAUCAGGAGACCUCCGGUUGCUGGAAGAACUCAAGCUUUAUCAUUGCGAAAGACUGGUAUCCUUACCGGAUGGGCCUCAAGCAUACUCAUCUCUUAGAGUUCUUCGGAUUGAAAAUUGUGAUGGUAUAAAGUUGCUUCCGCCAAGCCUACAGAGCCGUUUGGGCUACCUCGAGGAGAAAGAUCUAGAUGCCCGUUACGAAGGUAAUCUCCAGUUUCUUUGUUUCUUUUAACAAAAUGAUCAAGAGCUCAAUUGUUGUUACCUAAAAUGCAACUCUGUGCUUAAACAUUCUGUUAGCUAUUACAAGAUGUGGUAGGAUUUAGUGGUAAGAAGUUUAUGAGUAUUACUCUGUGUUAAACAUUCUGUUAGCUAUCUAGCCAAGCCGUUCAUGAUGUAUACAUUAUAUUGACUAUUGAGUACAAUGCACCACUAAUAUUUAUGUGCAUGUGUGUCAUCGAAAUACAUUAACUUCGUGUAUUAUUGCCAUUCGGGGUAUCUAAACACGUACAACCAGAUCAAGAACCGCAGUCAUCCUUGUAUUUAUAGCUAUAAGAUGAUCUUUGUUGUUCACUUUUGAUACCUUGGUUGUAAACUUGUAAUUGCUAACUCGAAUCAUGUAAUAAAAUCAAUCAUCUUCCUUUAGUUGUAUUUAAAGCAGCAUGGCAUCAUGGAAUUAUUGCAGCCGAAUUCACUAGCUCCAAUUAAAGUGGCACUUGUCCUAGCGUUUCUCUGCAAAUUCACUAGCUCCAUUGCAUACAGUUCAAGUAUGUGUAGUUUUCUUUUCAUGGCUUAUGCCUUUUGACAUAAAUAAUAAUUUUCCUUUCCUUUGAAACAUUUACUAUUGGGUACCACAGCAUAUUCUCCUGUGUAUAUAUAUACUUUCUAACUUUGUGUUGAUUUGCAUGCAUAAAUUCUAACAUCAUCUGUGAUCAUGGCUAUAAGAUGAUCUUUGUUGUUCACUUUUGAUACCUUGGUUGUAAACUUGUAAUUGCUAACUCGAAUCAUGUAAUAAAAUCAAUCAUCUUCCUUUAGUUGUAUUUAAAGCAGCAUGGCAUCAUGGAAUUAUUGCAGCCGAAUUCACUAGCUUCAAUUAAAGUGGCACUUGUCCUAGCGUUCCUCUGGAAAUUCAUGAUCACUAGCUCCGUUGUAUGCAGUUCAAGUAUGUGUAGUUUUCUUUUCAUGGCUUAUGCCUUUUGACAUAAAUAAUAAUUUUCCUUUGAAACAUUUACUAUUGGGUGCCACAGCAUAUUCUCCUGUGUAUAUAUAUACUUUCUAACUUUGUGUUGAUUUGCAUGCAUAAAUUCUAACAUCAUGGCCUGAUUGCCAGAAUUGCCAGAACCAACCUGGAAACGUUCAAUCAGGAAGCUGGUGUGCUCGAAAUAGUAGAUCAAGGCCUGACCAAAGAAAAUUAUCUCCAAGGUAUUUUUGCAAAGAUAUCACCAAGGUUUGUAAUAUUAGUGUUCUUGAUGAUUGAUUGGAAAUGAUGCUAGCUCCUAAUGCUGACUUCCUAUGCGCUGUGACUUCCUUGUAGGAUGGUGCCAGACCUGCAAAAGAUGGAUUAUUGUGACUCUUGUUUAGAAUGUAUCAUAUGGGCAUUCUGAAGAUAUUCUCCAGUAAAGUCAAGGCAAAGUUCUAGAUUUUGAGCAGAAAACAAGUCCUAGAUUGCAAGCUGAAGAAUUUAGCACACAGAGCUGCGUGCUCCAGUCUUUUAUCCUUCUUCAAACCGAAGACCUUUAUUUUGAGCAGAAACGAAGUCCCAGACUGCAAGCAGAAGAAUUUAGCAUACAGAGCUGCGGGCUCCAGUCUUUUAUCCUUUUUUUUUUCUUUUGAGCCAUGACUUGUUUGCAUUCGUGUCUGCUUCAGCCUCCAGCACAAGCGAAACACAGGCAGCACUUUCAUUUUAUGAUUUGUCUAUCCACAUACAUGACCGACUGCCAUAGAGUAGACCAACAGUCCAACGUACUCAUGUUGUUGCUCGACAAGCUGUCCAAGCUGCUGCUUGAUAUGAACUGAAAGUGCUGAACUUUGUCCAUGUUAUGUUGGUAGUAUAUCUAAUACUGAACUUCAGAGUAGAACAACAGUCCAACGUGCUCAUGUUGUUGCUCGACAAGCAGUCCAAGCUGCUGCUUGAUAUGAACUGAAAGUGCUGAAUUUUCUCCCGUGUAUGUUCUGUGUUACUGUGUAUCAAAUACUGAAUGGUGUGCAGGGUGAUCCUGCAUCCUGGAAUGGCACGGUCUUGUGCAGAGGUCUCAUUGUUGUUGACCUGUUUCUUCAAAACUGCAUGUGCAGCAACAUUUUCUCCUGGCAGUGCUGCAAUGGAAUUGAAAAGAAUGGUGAUUGUUAUAGUAUAAUUGUCAUAUAUAGGCUGGGACACAAAACAAUGGAUGUACAUGAGCAAGGAAGAAGCUCUGGAUGCAGGGGAUGGAACAGAACAGAGACACGGACUCUGUCAACAGCGAUGCUCCCCAAGCGAGCAGAGGCAGAGCAGCGAAGCCCGCCUCGCAAUCUCCGCUACCCCCAUCGAAGUUGCCACACGCCACCGCAUCUCCCUCCACUCCGCUCCCACUCCCCCGCCACCGCCAUGGCCGCCGCCGCCGCAGCGCCCUCCCUCCUGCACCCACCGGCGGCCCGCAAGGCCCCCACACCUUCUCCCUCUCCUUACCCUUCCCCAUUCCUCCGCCUCCCGGCCCCCGCGCACCCGCGCCUCCCGCUCCGCCUCCGCUCCACCUCCCCGGCCGCCGCCUCCGACCUCACCGACUUCCCCAACCCGAACGGCAUCCUCGCGCCCAUCGACGUGGACGCCGCCACGGAGGCGGAGCUUCGCGAGAACGGGUUCCGGAGCACGCGCCGCACCAAGCUCGUCUGCACCGUGGGCCCGGUCACCUCGUCGCCCGAGCAGCUCGAGGCGCUCGCCGUCGGCGGGAUGAACGUCGCCCGCCUAAACAUGUGCCACGGGGACCGGGAGUGGCACCGGGGCGCCAUCCGGGCAGUCAGGAGGCUAAACGAGGAGAAGGGCUACGCCGUCGCCGUCAUGAUGGACACCGAGGGCAGCGAGAUCCACAUGGGGGACCUCGGCGGCGCCUCAUCGGCCAAGGCGGAGGUGAGGUGCUGUGCUUGUAUGUAAGCUGCUGUCCAGUUUUGGACUUGGCGUUGCAGUUUUCAGUUUUCAGAUUGAACGUAUUCCGUGAAAUGUGCUUGUGCAAUGUGGCAAUGUGGAUGAGAGGGGUGGUGGCAGUGGCAGUGUCAGGCAUUGCCGUUUCAUACUUCUGCAAAACCUAGCGAGUCAGGAUUUCACCAAAAUGUUUUUUUUCCAUCUUCGAAAUGGCUCAGUUGAUUUAGAUUUUCAGCUCAUGUUUGAAAUUGUUAUAGAAGGAAAAACAUUCAGAAUUUCAGAUUGUCAUCAAACACUGGAUUGUGAAAGUGGUAAUCAUUUUCAAGGCUUUCAAUCUUUCAAAAAAAUUUCAAGGCUUUCAGUAUCAGUGCAACUCAAAUAAAGUGCAUGGUAAACAUCACCAUGUUUUGGCUUUCUCUGCAUAUAAGACACGGUGCUGGAGUGGUUCGACGGCGCUGAGGUCCCAAUCCAACCAGUCAGGUUUUUUCAAGGUGUCGAGUUUGAGUGCUUACCUGCGUUGGCCCCAUUCCAACCGGGCGAGUCUUUAUUUAUUUUUCGUUUCUUUUCUUUUUUUGCCUAUGGCCUCCCAGGACCGUAGUCUUGUAUUUUCUAUUAUAUCAAUAGAAACUCGCACUAUCUUGUGCGGUUCGUUCAAAAAAAAGUGAUAGGCAUUGAGCUUCUGAAGGUCGUUGUCUAGAUAUUAGGCCCAAGCCUCAAUGGCUUUUUUUUCCCUGUUGCAAACCUUCCUGUAAGUAAAGGGCACACCAGUGCGAAAGCUCCCACACAAGGUGGGGUCUGGGGAAGGGAAUUCCUAGAUAGCCUUACCCUUGCAAAAUUCUUUUAAAUUUUUGCAAAGAGGUUGGUUCGAACCCAGGACCUCCGGGCCACAAGUGGAGAGUUUUACCACUGUGCCAGGUCCGCCCUUCUAGCAGAAUCUCUUAUGCUAGGUUUAAUUUGAAUUAGCUUUAUUAGUAGAAUGCUUGGCCCAUUUAUUGGUAAAUGGUAAAAUUCAUAAAGAUUAUCCUCAUUCCCUUAAUCAAUUUUAGGUGUUUAACUUGCAGCAAAUUCGAACAAUGACAGACAUGCAGCAUAUUGUUAGUUCAUCUGUAAGACUUGGCUUGCUGGUUUAAUGCUUUGUUAAAGGUUUGAAGUUAAUGUGUCUACUGGUAGCUAUUGAAUCUCUUUAUAGUUUAUUUAUAUCUUUUUUCUUUAUUAGUAUAAAGCCAUGUAGAAGUUUUCAGAAUACUGAAAUUUCUAGUGUUCGUUUUGUGGAGUCUCUGCACCUACAUCCUUUUUUGCAACUGCAUUUCAGAUCCUUCAGUUAUAGCAUGAAUAAUUUUUUAAAAAAGAAAAUUCUAGGUAGAUUCUUGCCCGUAGUUAAUGGUAGUGUCCGAUGAUAGUUGUGUUUUAGAUAAUACAUUAAUAUUAGUAAUCCAAAGAAACUAAACUACUUCCAUGAUGCUAAAUGUCAUCAGUGCUAGCUAGGGUCACUAUACCAAAAAGGAGAUUCUAUCACCAUUCGGCUGUUUAUCUUAAGUUUUUAACCAUACAGUUAGAAGUUUGAUUGUACACCUAUUCAAUAAUCCAAGGUUUUCUUGAGCCACGUUAUUUACCCAAUGACUUCCAUUUUUCUUGGCAUUAAAACCUUUCUGAAGUAAUUAACAAAUCAUGUCACAUUUGUUGGAUUCCACAGGAUGGAGAAGUCUGGACAUUUAGUGUUAGGUCAUUUGAAUUGCCUCUCCCAGAACGAACUAUUAAUGUGAAUUAUGACGGGUUUGCUGAAGGUAUGUAAGCUGACCUAUUUGUUGAUAUCUUUUGCUGUUAUUGUUCACUGCCAUAAUUUUGUCCUACACAGAUGUGAGAGUUGGUGAUGAGCUUCUUGUGGAUGGUGGAAUGGCUCGGUUUGAGGUGAUUGAGAAGUUGGGACCAGAUGUUAAGUGUCGCUGCACAGAUCCUGGUUUAUUGUUGCCACGUGUGAAUCUUACAUUCUGGCGUGAUGGCAGUAUUGUCCGUGAGAGGAAUGCUAUGCUUCCUACAAUUUCAUCAAAGGUAAAUGCACUAGCAUAAUAAAUUUCUUGCUGUAAUUACCAAAAGACCGCAAAACUUUGUUAAUCUAUGCCACCCCUUGGUACUAGUAUUGCAAUGGAUUUACAGCUUGGUUUUUUUUGUCAAUGCCAUGGUCAGUUCAAAACAACAUGUAUUAGUUCAAAGCCUUACAUUGUGCACUGAAACUCAUCUCUUGAUAGUUUUUAUCAGCUAUUUCUUAAGAAGGCUUCUACCACCUAGAGUUGUUUAACUGAAAAUUUAAUCUUCUAGUAGCAGAUACUAAUAUUAUAAGUUUAUAAUAAUGCUGCUCCUACCCCCGACGCAGCUUGCCGGAGGCCCUUGACGCAGCGCUGCCAUCCGCAAGCCCUAACGCCGCCGACGCGCCCCUCUCCUCGGUUGAUUUGGGAAGGCGCGGGACUGAGGCAGGGAGAUUGGGAAGCAGAGCUUCCUGUUCCUCGUCUGCUACUCUGCUUCAAUUGGGCACCGGGAAAAGCGAUGCUGCCGGGUGCUCGGGUUCUUGGAGAGGGGAUGGAAUGGAAUGAUGGAUCGAUGCGGGAUGCGUUGCUGUUGCUAGCGGCUUCUGAUUGGAGAGAGGAGAGAAGCUGGUUGCUUGUGUUACCGUGAACGUGAAGGAAAACAGAGUAGGGAGGAGAGCAAGCUGCUGGUGCAGGAGCAUCAUGGCUACGGCAAUGGCAGCGGUGCGGUUCGUUCCGUCAAAUCCCAGAUUUCGGCCACAUUUGAUUGAUGCGAUUUAAUUUGAUUCCUUAUUGGUCGCCAGCCACGCAUUCGAUUCAUGGACGCGCAGGCCCCGGUGGUGAUGCAAGCCACGGUGGUUCCUGCAUGACAAUAGGUUCUUGUUACAAGACAGUCAUCAGUCAUAUUGUGAAGAACUGAUGGCAGUUUUGAACACAAAUAUAGGAUUUCAUCACGAUACACUAGAGGUUUACAAUCAUCAACUACUGCAGGGGAAAAAAAUGGAGCUAGUAUUUUUGAAAAAUGGCCCGAUGUUGAAUCUGUGAUAAUGCAACUUAUGUAGCAGAGCAACCAUGGUAACACAAAAAUGUGCCAAGAGACUGACCUGAUCUUCUUCAGCCUCUCUCCAGGUCAUCCCCGAGCUUCAUGUCAAGAGCGUUGGAAACAACCUGGGAGAACCUACAUCCUUGUAAUCCUUCUUCAUGAUGAGGAAUCAGUCAGGGACCAUGAACUGGCGAGGGUUAGGAACCACAUUCUUGAGGCGCUCAAGCUCAUCUGGGGACACCUCACGAGCUCUGCACAAAAAUAUUAUCAUCAGAGCUAAACUUCAUGCAAUGGGGCAUUCUAGCUGUAGCAUACAACAACCUACUGGCCCAGUUUGUUAUUGCGGCACAUGGAAAAUUAGUGGGAAAGUGGUGCGAUGCACCCAUCUCAAAUCUCCAACUUCAAAAAACAUGAAUGCCAAAGACUUCUGCAUAGGCUGUCUUUAGAUGGCAGAUGUUUUUUAAAACACGUUUUCCAAUGGGCUUCACUCUCAAGUAGAUUCAGAAAAGCUAAUUGAUGAUCGGCACCAAGCCACAGAUGACUGCCACUAAUGAACAGUCAGUAGAUAAUUUCUGCAUUGUUGCCUAGAUUUCACCUGAGGAAAACCAAACUGAUUGAACAUCUCGCCACAAUUUCUUAGAUUAACUGAGCCCAUCACCUACGGGAAUGGAAGGAAAAAAAACCGAAAACUGUUACCAACAUUACAAUUUGUCAAAUAAUCUUCAUAUUCGAAUUCCCUAUACAAAAAUACCGCUUUGCCAGACUGGACCAGAAAGCAAACCAAACCUAAAUUCAGUAUAUUUAUACAUGUUGAAUCAUCUCUUGGUCACGUUUUCUUCAUUGAAAAGAAGUAAUGAGAAGAAACAUUCUUCAAAAAUUACUGAUCAAAACCAUAUUUUUAGUGUGCUACGAUUCUACAGCGACUUCAGUACAAUGGAAGCAUUGGUGCUACAACGAGCUUCUGAUAAAGUUAGGAGUGAUUUUAAUCCACUUUUCAACUUGGAAACCAAGUUGAAAACAAGUCUUCCUUUUUGUUAAUGUGUUGCCGUGAGAACAUAGAGUAUGAGCAGUUCAAACCGGUUACCUAAAUUAUGCUUGUGAUCCGUGCACUGUGAUGGUCAAACUUCUCCUUGUUAAAUGGCAAGCUGCUGUUGCCUUGGAUCCUAAGGUCGUGCUGUGAAUGGUAUUGUAACUGUUAAGGUAAAUCCUGUUCUCCAUUUGUGGCCAUGCAUGAGAAUUGAGAACUGGAGAUCAUUCUGAAUUUUUGCUCCUUACAGAUUGCUUUGUGUAUCCCUUGUGCGCCAAAUGGGACUGAAAUUCGUGGCGUGAUACGUCAUCGUGACCUUUUGAAUUUUAGUUGGCUUUGUUUUUGUUUUCGAGGAUUUAACUGUUGUGCCUCCGUCUUCCAUGUGGCGAAGAAAUUGACGCAGUGGGGUCGGGAUGGUGUUCAGCUGCUGUUUGCUGGUAGACUGUUUAUUUUGUUUGGGAGUAUAAAGGGGUGGAUCAUCCAUCAUAUCUAAGCAAUAUGAUUAGUGCAAAUCAUGAUGGUCAACGUCAGGUUUCGUUUUGGGCAACCAACCACAGGGUUUCUUUGAUGGUUUCGUAUUCAUUGUAAUCGCUGUCGUUGCUUGCUUCUUGCUGCCCACAUUCCUAUUCUCCCGUCGGCUCGACGGAGGAUUUUAUUUUAAGAAUGCAGAGAAAGAAACAUGCCUCCGUUUUCCAAGCAAAGCAUAUAUUCUUUCUGGAAGGUCAACGACAAGGCCCCGGCCGUUCCAAGCUUCUCGCUGGCCUAGCCGUCGCGUCCAUUCAAGCUCAGAGGCGACUGCCGUUCCGAGCUCUCCAAGGGCCCGCGCGAUGGGAAGCGGCGCGGUUCUUGACGGUGGUGUUGUUCCUCGCCGCGGGGGUCCUCUUCGCGCCCGAAUCGCUGGCGCCUCGGCGGCCACCGCAUGGGGCACCGGCCUCUGGGUCGCAUUCAUCGGCGGCACCAUCCUGUUCAGGUAAGCAAGCGCCGCCGCUGCCGCUUCGUCCGCCCCAAGAUCAGAUGGUUGGAAACAAGCGAGAGAUGGAUUCUGUCAUGUUUACUAAUAUACCAUUAUACCCAAGCCUAAAUGUGAUAUGCUGCUGCUGUCAUAGCAUUCACAUUCAAAUCCAAUUUCGUGCGCAGCAAUGCACGGCGCCCAUCCUAGGAAGAACUCUGAGGAAAAUGACAAGCCUCAUGAAUCUGUCCUUGGAAUCAUGCGAGUUUUAGUAAAUCAUUGGAAUCCACUGGAUCAUCAUCUUAAUCUGGCAACCAUUGGUCCGGAAAAAUCAUUCUAGUAAAUAUUCACCUUGACGAUCUGUUGGAAGGACAAGGACCACAAAAAUUAUGAAUUGGGAUUUAUGUGCUGUAUUGAGAGAGCCCGUAGGUGCUGGAUUUCUCUGGAAACGUUCUGAAAGUUCUGGUAGUGGUAGCACUGCUACAAUUUUACAAGCAUGUGGGGUUGUUCCUCUGUUUGUUGAUUAGGUAUUAUGUUUUGCAGUCUUAAAGUUCAGAAGGUAAUUACCCAGGUGUGCAAGUAUACCUUCAAGUUUUUUUUUAACAUAGUGUACAUAUUACCUUGUUAUAGUGAGAACAGAGAAGUCCACCGCAAAAGUAUAGCCUAGCAUAUAUUGUUCUUGCAAUAGACCAUGUGUGGAUAUGCCCCUUUGCAGGUCGAUUAUUCCAUUCAGAACAUAGCAUGGACCUCUAUAGUGUUUUGGAUAGAUUUUUUUUUAUUAUAAAGGUACUUGCCGAGGCACCAAUUUGGGAGUCUGCGGGGUAAAAUGUUCCCGGCGUAGUUCAUAUUGACAUCAGUGUGUUCAGCGAUAUCUGUGGCAGCAUUCGUAUACCUGCACCCCUGGAAGACAGCAUCAACCAUCGAGCGUUACCAGCAUGGAUUCCUUCUUUCGGCCCUUAUCUGUAACCUUUCAAACCUUCUGGUCAUCACACCCGAUCCUUACCUGCGCUGCCGCCGCACCGCCACCUCUCCCUCCCUGCGUCGCCGCCGCGCCGCCACCACUCCCUCCCUGCGUCACCGCCGGGACCCCGACGACCCCUCCCACCACUCCCUGCAACUGAAGAGGUAAUCCGACAGCGCCCCCUCCGGGCGCCGCCACGCCGACCCGCCUCCGGGUGCCCAAUUGAUACGCCCGGACCGCUCCUCCUCCGUCCGCUGCCCAACCGUGCCUCCUCCGGGCGCCCAACGCCGGCGCACCCCCUGUCCGGUUGCCCCUCCGCGCCAGCGCCCCCCUUCCCGGCCUUCUCUCCACCCCUCCCCCGGCCUCCCCUCCACGCCGGCGCGCUGGUAGACGGACGCCUCUGGCUACUUCUGUGCCGGCCGCGCCGCCGCCAAGCUCGCCCCUACGAAAACGGUAACCUCUUCCGCCCAUCUGCACAUCUCCAUGACAAUCCGUUUUUAUGCAUCCUUAUUGAGGCGGAUCUGGUGGUUCGAUUGCAUAGAGGAGGAUAAUGAUUAGUGGAUUUGCUUGAUUGGCAACAUAGUCCAUCAUUUAUUCUCCUGUUCUCCAUUAUCAGUAUUGUGAAAUUGCUUGACAGAUGGCUGGUCACUUGUUUUUUUUUAGUGAUUCCAAUGGUAAUCAUAUCAUACCAGACCUAGAUAGAAUAUAAUAUGAGAUGAUGUUGCAGACUGAGUCAUCUGAUUCUUGCAGUCUAAUUCUAGGAGUUUUAGGCAGUGGCAUGUGAAUAUUAUCAAUACUUCUGCUUCAGUUAACAUAUGCAACUUAUGGGCACUCACAUAGCAGGUUAUUUUUCUGUUGUUUUAACUAACAUGGCAUGACGUGAUGUUUUUGACUGUUUAACUAAUAGAAUCUUUAAGCUUUGAUUGGUACACUCAAACUUCAUUAUUGAGAUUGGUCGACUGUCAGUAUUGUGAAAUUGCUCAACAGAUGGGAUAUUGCUUGCAUUAAAAGAUUAGCUUCAGGAUAUUGCUUCGAUUGUAGAGGAUGAUAAAAGUAUUGAUUUUUCUUUCCUUGUUUUUUAGUCAUUCGUGCUUACUCUCUAGCAAUGGUUAAUUACAACACUGCAGGACUACUAGCUAGCGUAUUUAUCUAGGUUCUGAUAUAAAGCAUAUAACAUUGGAUCUGGGAUAAUAUGUUGGCUAUUUUGUGGCUGGCCCGGAAGCCCAGUGGUUGCUUUGCUUUGCUACCUGCUUUUGCAACUCUCUUCUUUUCUGAGCUCAUUCUUACACUUUAGCCUGCAGUCGAGUAUGUGUGUUAGCUAUUGAGCUGUUUUGCUUUGCUUAAUCAAAUGCUAUAUUACACCAUGUUUUCAAAUUUGUUCCCAUAGUUAUUUAGCUUAACCUCUAUCUCUGAAAUCAGGUACUUGAUAGGAUGAACUGUAGGGGUCUGAGGUCUUUUUUUAAUGAAGCAACAGGGGAGGACCCUACUGACAAAUUUCAGAGGAUAUAUAUCUGUACAGGUUGCAUGGCCAUGUAGUUCCAAAAGAAAAAAAAGGAGGAGAUUUAGAUCCCUCUCCACGAAAUAUUUUCAUGGUUGUCCAUAAAUAUUUGUUUUCUGUGCAUUAAGCUUUUCUGUUGUGCUAAUCUGAUUCAAGGAACCCAGAAUUGCAACUAUCUUAAAUUUUCUUUUUAUAUUCCAUUUUAUAUCAAUUCCAGGUACAUGCAUGAUUGGUAUGGCCAGGUUGAAUGCAAAUAUGUGGCAACACUGAAGUAGAACAAUCAUUAUGAAGCAUGUCAAGUAAGCAUGUUCUAACUUUUGGAAUGUAGCUUCAUGAAUUUGAUUCUUUGAUAUACUAUACAAGGUUGUAUUUGUUUGAUCUGUCACUUAAUUUGACAUUGGAGUUGUCCGGCCAACAAAUCCACAUGUGCCUCCGCCACAUGGACGCCCCCAAGGCCCGUACGUGAUCCCCAGGUCCCUUCCCUUCUGUUUGGUUGCAAACACUGACAGAGAACCAUUUGCAACUGAGCUCAUGACUAACUUAAUGUACCGUUGCUGCUUGCAGGUCACAGCUCAGAUGAGGCAAAGCGGAUAGCUUGAUUACUGGAUGCAGGAUUAGCAUCCACCAUGAGCCUGUGCACCUGGUCCAUCGUAAUUCUUUGAAUUUACUCUAUUGAAUGCAGGGUGUUCCUGAAAUUGCAAGAAUUAUGGCACCAGAUUGGUCGUCGAUGGACAGAAGGCAAUGCUGUGCUGCCAAUUAAGUUGCCUGGUGAUGUUUCUAACAUGCAUUCUGUACUAUCUGACAUUUUAGAUUUCAGGCUGCUAUCGUAUCUGGUUUGUGACUGUAUUUUCUACCAAUCAAGUUGCCAUCAAACUUAAAUAUUGAAGCCUCUGGUGGAUAUGAUGAUGAAUUGACUGUAGACUGUUGGCCCUUGGGCAUUGCAAAGAGAAGGAAAUAUCUGUUAAGAUAGCCAAAACCAUCAAGUUAGUCCAGAUCAUGCGCUACAAAAUUUCACUUCUUUUAUGAACUGCUGUAGUGUGUAAUAUAAAUAAUGCCAUCAAGUUAAUAUGUAUGUGCAAAAAAUCCCCUGACAGGAAAUUAUUAGGAAUUUAUAUUAGAAACAGGAAACAUGAAUGCUGAAGCAUGUUAGAACUGACAAAACACAAUCAGACAUAGGCAGGUUCUUGGGACUGCAUGAAGAGAGACUCAGAUUCCUAAGGAUUGUUCAAGUGCAUUCGAUGUGAUUUGCCGACGAAUGGAACAGAGGAUGGCCUAUGGCCAGAAUGAGCAGGUGAGGCUCCAUACUAUCUUACCGUAUGUCUUCCUCAUGUCUCAUGUGUUGCAUUGCAUGUAACUGUUAAAGUAUCUGUGCUACAGAUCUCACUUUAUUAAAUCAUGUGAGAUUAAACUUACAUUUAUAUUGUCAUUAAUAGAAAUCAACAGAAAAGAGGUACUGAUUGGAUUACUAAUUCAUUAUUUGUAGUUGCCUUAGUCAAGAAUAUAAAUUUGUCAGGGACAACUCAAAUACAGAAACACACUCAUGAUCCUUUGUAGUUUGCAGUAGAUUGCGAGUUUAAUGGUAAAUCUGGACUUGAACUUCUUUUCAGACUCUGUUCUACCACCGAAUUUCAUACUGCAUUACUUCAUGCUCGAAAAAUGGAUGAAAUCAAAUCGAUAGCCUUCCUCGGUUAACCAUUGCAGAGACACCGCUCUUGUAAUUCAGGACAUGGUACUGCUGCACGAAGUGGAGGUGGAAUACCCGGACGGUCGACCCAUCGAAAAGCACCAAGCGAUGCUACUGGAGUUCGGAAAGUUUGAAAAUGGCCAAUCCACCACUGCCAUGUCCCUCACCGUUGGUGUAGCAGCAGAAAUAGGGGCUCUGGUAGUAACCUUAACCACAGUUAUACUUGCAUGAGGAUAAAAGCAGAAACCCCAUGUAUAUUCAUUUACUCUUGCCCCAUGCCAUGUUGCAGCUCUUGCUCCAGAACAAGGUGCAGACGAAAGGAGUGAUUAGGCCUCUGGAACCUGAAAUCUACAUUCCAGGUGAGUGCAACGUGGACCAUGGUUUUCAUGCCUGUCCUUUGUGGAAUCACCGUGACAUGCAACAGUGCUGACUCGUGUGUUUGCGUGUGUGAAGCAUUGGAAAUCUUGGACUCGUCAGGCAUAAAGCUGACUGAGAGAGUGGAGAUUUGAAAAUUCGUGUGUACUCCCUCCGUCCCUGUCGUUUUCGCUUCCUGAGAAACAACUUUGACUAAAUAUAUAUAAAAAAUAUUAAUAUUUAUGAUACAAAAUUAAUACAAUUAGAUAGAUAUUUGAAUCUAGUUUUUUAAUAAAUUUAUUUGAAGAUACAAAUGGUGCACGUAUUUUCUACAAAUCCAGUCAAACUUGCGGCACGGAAACCAAAAGCGACAGUUAUUUAGGGACGGAGGGAGUAAGCAUUGGAGAUCUUGGAGUCGUCAGCCACCAAGCUGACUGAGAGAAUGUAGAUUUGAAAAUUCGAAGUUAAUAGUACAUAGAUAUACUAUAUGAUAAUAGCUGGGUACAUAUAUUCUGUACAUACUAUGUUCUGUCCUAAGAAAGGGUAGGAACUCCCAACAGUUUGUCGUCGUCGUUGUACAUAGAAUCUCAUAAUGUAUAACUUUCAAAGCUCUAAAAACAACAGGUCUUGUGUGCAACGAUGAUAGUCGGAUUAGUUAUACACCAUGUACUUUAGUGUGGCACUAAAUUAUGAAUAGGUUCUCUAUACUUAAAGCUUCUUAGACUAUGAUGUUCGUCAGCUCACUGGUGAUUGGAAAGGCGUCUUUAGAAAUUGCUACGCAAAACGAUUGGGAGUAUAGGGCAACCCUGCUUGCUUAUUCAAAUUGAUGUACCUAAGGGUGUAAAAUGUGAAGAUAUAUGGAAGUCUUGAUUGUGGAGAAAAAUUGUCAAUCAAAAUAGCAUCUUAUUUAUGAGGUGGGGCCUGAUUCGACUCAUGUCGAGCCCUCUCCUUUGCACCAACGAACAGAUCCAAUCGUUUAAAAUCAGGUCCAAGUUCACAUCUCUUUUGCCCUCCCACUCAGAGCACAAUCGGCCAGCGCGACGGGGAUGGCGACACAGCCACCGACGGCUGGAGCUCCCUCAAUGCUGCCAGCAGGUAAUUGACUAGCCUAUUACUAUUUGGAUGUGAUGCACAUUGGUCACGAAUUUGUAAAUCUAUCAGUUCCUGCUUCCUGCAUCCAUUUGUGCAGUUCUUGCGGUGGAUGCAGUGCACUGAGUAUAGAAAUUAUUUUUUAUUACUUCUGUGAAACGUUUUGGCCUUGGCAAGUAUGUACAGAUUUAGUUGUUGUUUUUUUAGUCAGAGGUGAGCUACGUGUAUGGGAAAGAAACACUUGAUUGCUUGUUCUAGAUCUUGCCUUCAUAUAAACUGUGAUGCUAUCAACAUGGAGAUUUGAUGCAUUCUACUCUCUCUCUAUUUCACAUGGAAAAGAACUCGUGUUUACUCAAUAAUGCUUAUGAAUUUUCCUUAGAGUUGCAUUUAUUCAUCAUCCUAAAGUAUUCCGUGUCAAGUAAACUCAUACUUCUAAUUUUUCAAAAAACAAUCUGAAAUCAAUGAACCCCUCCUUCCUUGUGAAAUUGUUGUACCUUUUUCCUUAUGACAUCUUAUCUACUUCCACUUUCCUGGUGCAGAAUUUUUGAAAGUAGGAAACGUAAGCAAUGACAGUGAGAGUCGCAGCAAUACUGAGCUCAAUAGGUGAACUAGACAAACCAUUCUGCUGUAGUUCAUUUUAUCACUGCAGUCAUCGUCGGACAAUGAGGUCAGAACCAGCAGGUUCGCAGAGUGACUUGUGACUUGUGGAUAAUCCUGCAGAUUCAACAAUGGUAAAGUAACGAAUGGUUAAGGUAUAAGUAGAUUUACUCAAUUAUACUCCAAUAGCUAAUGCAUUGCAUAUAUUGCUUGGCCGUGUAUAUAAAUAUUACAUCACUGUUCAACAUAAGUAAAUAGCUUGGUCCUUCAUAAUAAAGCAGUCCAUUUUGGUAAAAGCUAUAGUGCAAUUAGUUUUCUUGAUUUUCUUAAAAUUUUACUCAAAGUCUGUUCCUUAUGUUGUACAUUUGCCUCGCGGGCUGGCUAACUGACCUACAUGAGGCUGGCUAACUGAUCUGGAGGUUCACUAUCUAUGUUCUUUCAUUUCAUUGUCAAACAGAGAUAUUCUAAAUCUGAAAGUCUGUUGAAAUUGCCUAUGGAGUCUUGUGGUACCUUUAGUGUUUCUUAUCAUGUCCAGUAGGAGGUCUUGGAAAACAUAUUUGCCAUACAUGAUUUUUUUUAAAUCGAAAGUAGUAAUAUGCUGUGUAAUUGCCUUCUUGCCUCCUGACGUGUGGCAAAUUCAUUGAGCGUUUCCACUUACAUCGCUGGCAUAUUCAGAAAACAACGCAAAGAUGAUGGUUUUGGGUGAGAGGUCCUUUGGUCAAGGUAAUUUCAGAGCAUUGAUUUUCAAUGUACUUGUAAAGCCAAGAGAAAGUUGAGCAGGGCACAUUCAGUUGUUAACUGGACUGUUGGCUUGCUGCUAUGGAAACAUGUUUUCAGCCUUAUUACUUGCCGAGUUUACAUUGGGAUCUGAAAACUGGACAGCGUGCCAUUAGUUUUGUCUGUCUCCAGGACAUUGCCCAUGCACAUGAACUGACUGAUUACCAUGAAAAUUCACCUGUUUCAGUUCCAAACUAAUUAUUGCUUCAAGGUCACAAAGCUAUAUGAAAAUCUGUAUCCAAUUGAAUGCCAGAACUCUCUAGGAUGAUGUCAGGCAUUCCCAUUUAUAGGUUAACCUGAAGUGAUUCUUGAAGAUUAGUUUCUGUGUGGUUGAUUUGAACUGUUUGUCAUAUUGUAUGCUUCAUCUUGAUUACUAUCAAUUUCACAGGUCAUGUUCAUUGUGAGGAAUGGAGCGCAAUGCCUUGUGGUAACUCUGGGCAGACGAAAAUAGGCCACCUCUCCCAUUUUCUUGAUAUUUAUUUUCUGAUAUCUGACUAUUGUAUUUGUCGUGAAAUUUAAAUUGUAGACACUAACAGAUCAUGUGUCACUUCAUGCUUUGACCAUGUGAAAAAAAUUCAGUGUAUUUACCCAUGAUCGGUGCCUUGCCCCGAGUGGUCUUUAAUUCCUGAAUUAGGCAACGGUGAUUUUUCUUCUUAAUAUAUAGAUGCGCAGCUCUCCCGCGUGUUCGAGAAAAAUGAGGCAACGGUGACACAGCGCUCGUAGAAAGUAGAAAGUGAAGAAGCGGUUUGAGCAUAUUGCUGUUGACAGCUACCUCCGCAAGAUUUGGCCAGUAUCGUGAGCUGAGUUUCACAACCCUGAACCACUUGGUAAAAAACAGUCUGAAUUUUGCGUUGUGAGUAACUAACUAGACAUCCGAAUAAAUUAGUGUACUGAUAUUCUGAAAUUUGUUUUAGCACUGGGACUCUCUGGACUAUCCGGUGGAAUCAGGCCUUGGCAGGACUGAGGCAGAUGUGGGGGGUGACACCGUGCAGGUGAGGUGGUGGCGGUACCUGGCUCUGGCAUCUCCCUUUAUCCGCUUGAUGGAAUGGCAGCAUGGGUAUGGAGACACCAUCAGCAUCUAAACAAGGCCCAAAAGGUACAAAGAUAUGAUUUAAUCACUUUUGAUUUGUUUAUUUGCUAUCAUAUAAAUUGCAGGUCUUGAGUAAUAUGUCAAUGCUAUAAUUUUGCUUGCUUGUUGUGUGUCCUCUCUAAAAUCUUUUCUUUACCAUAUAUAUCCAUACGCACAAGAUAUUUGCAGUUACAAGUAUAAUCCUCAAGGAGUGAAAAGCUUGGGAUUCUGUUCGUGCAGGCAACAGGCAUUGAUUGCUAAUCAGCAUGGCCUCCACAAGUACCCAUCAUAGGAAGUGCAGCAACCAAUAUUGUGUUCAAACCUGAAGAAAAUAUAUGGGGAUGGCUGGGUGGCUGCACAGCUCAUGGCAGGGACCAAUUUGGAGUCUGCAUCUUCUUUCCCACAUAUAUAUGAUAUUUCCAUAUACUGUCAGGAUGCUAUUAAACUGCCUUCACCAGAUUACUAUAAACUGUGAACUUCGGAACUUUAAUUUUCGAUAAGUUGGAGUCGACGCUUAAAACUUCAGAGCUUUAUUUACUCCUAAGUACCAACAGCUCUAAAUUUUUGUGCACUGCACCCUUAGUUUUUAGUGAACAAUACUGACUGCUGAGGUUAUAAUGCAUCUUUCUAUGUGGGACUAAAGUUUUGUCAAGUAAGGCUAUGUACACAUUGAUAAAUCUGCUUCAGAAUAAUAUCGCUGAUACAUUGCAAUCUCACUAUCUGAACAAAAUCAGGUUUAUCAGUUAUUUAUAGUAGACUUGCUUGUUAGAAAGGACCUAAAUAGGUUUUCUUUGUCUAUGUGAAUUUUCGGGGAAUUCUGCUUAUCUUCCAUGGAUAGAUGCUACUUCUCCUGUAAUAUCGAAUUGGGUCAUGUGUGUGUCAGCUCUUUGCUAGCCAAAGGAGCUUGUGACUUGCAACUACUACUGCUUAUUCAAUGAUCUCUAAUAACUGAAUCAUUUUGUUCAGAUUCUAAUUACCAGGUCUUUUCUCAUCUCUUUAUGUUUUGAGGUGUUGGAUGAAAUAGGGUUAAUGGUGUUUGCUACCAUUCUACAAGAAAAUAGGGUUAAAAUAUUCUUGUAUUCCUCAGAUUAUUUGUGUCAUGCAAACUCCACUUUAGAAAAUUCCAUUCUAAAUGGUUGUGUGAGAUUAUGUACCAUUCUAAUAUGAUCUCAUGAGGGGAAUUAUUUAGCCUGUAGCAACGCACGGGCACGAUCCUAAUGGAAUUGAAAAGAAUAGAGAUCGCGAUGAACCACGAGAAUAUCUAGUGUUGGAACGCAAAGCGGAGGGCAAGUACCCAUACAAAAUCUAAUAACUCUGCAACAGCCAUCACUAGCAAGUUGUCAUACACUCAUUAUGGUCUUGGCCACGAGACAUGAGCAAGAGAUGCACAUCAUGAUCUAGGAAGCAGCAGCGCGCGGGUAUGGUCGCAUGGAACAGCCUCUUUGCCCGCGCCGGCCACCCCUUCCACUGCUGCUCAAAAGGUGCUCGACAAAAUGCCACUCCAGGACACUGCCCGCGCCGGCGCGCCUGGGCAGGAAAGAAAACAGGAAAAACUCUGAAAAGGGAGUAGUAAUGCACAGAAACUCACAUUGCUAUUCGAGUUGCCAUGAAACGUUGGGAUGGGUGUAAGUAACGGAUCAUAGAGACUGUCCAUUGUCAACUUGUCAUUAUUAAACAAAACUACUAUUAUUUUCCCUCCUGGCCUCGAGAUGCUAAUGGAUGGCCCAAAACUAAUGCAAGAUGCACAUGCUCUCACAUGGUUGAAGACACGCAGAUCAAGAUGCACAGAUCGAACACAUCUGGACGAACGUGGUUCUAUAUUGCUGUAGUGUAUGCAACCAAUUAAACACAUCCACUUGGCUCCUCCAAAGUCAACGCUCGAAGUCUCCAUUUUCCACAAAAGCAGCAGCUCAAACCAAGCGUCCAGCUUCUCUCUCUCCACCCAGCAACACUGUGUUUCCUGUGUCCUGUCACCUGUGCGUGUGUUUUUGGAUCUCCAGGCGUUGCCAUGGCUGAGGUACUGGCCACCAUGGUGGUCGGGCCACUGCUGUCCAUGGUGAAGGAAAAGGCCUCCAGCUACCUCCUGGACCAGUACAAGGUGAUGGAGGGGAUGGAGGAGCAGCACAAGCUCCUGAAGCGCAAGCUGCCGGCCGUCCUGGACGUCAUCGCCGACGCCGAGGAGCAGGCGGCAAAACACAGAGAAGGGGCGAAAGCUUGGCUGGAGGAGGUCCGGACGGUGGCCUACAAGGCGAAUGAUGUCCUCGACGAGUUCAAGUACGAGGCGCUUCGCCGCAAAGCCAAGGCGGAGGGCCACUACAAGGCGCUCGGCAUGGAUGUAAUAAAGCUCUUCCCUUCUCACAACCGUUUUGUGUUCCGUUAUAAGAUGGCAAACAGGCUCUGCAUGAUCUUGCAAGAAAUUGAUGUCCUCAUCGCAGAGAUGAAUGCAUUCAGGUUCAAAUUCAAACCGCAGCCGCAAAUGCUCAUGCAAUGGAGGCAGACGGAUGCUUGCAUCCCCACUGAGUCUGUGGACAUUGCCAGCAAAUCAAGAGCUCAAGAGACGAAGGAUCUUGUUCAUCAAUUGCUCGAGAGCAGUAAGGAUCGAUUGCUUGCUGGAGCCAGCAGUAAGGAUCUCAUGGUCCUUCCGAUAGUCGGAAUGGGGGGGUUGGGCAAGACCACCUUAGCACAGCUCGUUUACAAUGACACUGAAAUUAAGAAGCAUUUCGAGUUGCGGCUCUGGGUGUGUGUCUCUGAUGAUUUUGAUGUGGAUUCCCUGGCUAACAAAAUAGUGAAAGAGAAUGGUUGUGAAGCAAGUGGAAGUUCAUCAGCACUGGACAAUCUUCAAAAGGCAGUGAGUGGGAAGAGGUACCUCCUCGUAUUGGAUGAUGUGUGGAACCGUGAUGAGCCCAGCAAGUGGGAAAGGUUGAAGUCCUACCUUCAGCAUGGUGGCAGCGGUAGCUCAGUGCUGACAACAACUCGCGAUGAAGCUGUUGCUAAACUAAUGAUGGGUACAACUGAAGGAGCCUAUAAACUUGGAAGCUUGGAUGAAGAGUCCUUAGGGAAAAUUAUCAAGGCAAGAGCAUUCGGUUCAAAACAGCCUGGUGAACUAGUUAACAUGGUUGGUAAAGUUGCCAAGAGAUGUGCUGGUUCUCCUUUAGUUGCUACAGCAUUGGGCUCUUUACUGGGUACCAAGACCAGCAAGCAAGAAUGGGAGGAUGUACUAAAUGGAAGCACGAUUUGUGAUGAGGAAAAUGGGAUUUUACCAGUACUUAAACUAAGUUACAAUUGCUUGCCAUCAUACAUGCGGCAAUGCUUUGCUUUCUGUGCUAUGUUUCCCAAGGAUUAUGAGAUUGACGUGCAAAUGCUAAUCCACUUGUGGAUGGCCAAUGGUUUUAUCCCAGAGCAAUCAAAAGUGUGUCCUGAAACUUUUGGAGAAAGAAUUUUCAUUGAGCUCAAGUCAAGGUCAUUUUUUCAGGAUUUGAAGAAUGUCCCAUUUGAUGACAAAUAUUCUAUUUAUAAAAAUGGCAAUAAGCACAGGUAUUGUUCUAGAAUUACUUGUAAGAUCCAUGACCUUAUGCAUGAUGUUGCACAGUCUGCUAUGGGAGAAGAAUGUGCUGCAAUAGCUACACACCCAAGUGAAAAAGAGGAUGUUCUUCGUUCAGCUCGUCACUUGUAUUUGUCAAUCCGUCAACCACAAACUCUUCUGAAUGCUUCCCAAGAGAAAGGAUCUCCAGCUUUCCAAACACUGAUUUGUGACGGAUAUGUAGGAGAUUUGAAGAUUUUAUCAAAAUACAACUCUAUAAGAGCUUUAAAGAUCGUGUGUGGUUCAAUCUUAAGGCCGAAAUAUCUUCAUCACCUGAGGUAUCUUGAUCUCUCAGAAAGUUUCUUUGAAGCACUUCCUGAAGACAUUAGCAUCCUAUAUCAUCUGCAAACACUGAACCUUUCUUACUGUGACCGGCUUAAACGGCUUCCAAAGCAACUGAAGUAUCUGACUGGCCUCCGUCACCUCUACACUCACGGAUGUGGAAAGUUGAAAAGCAUGCCCCCAGAGCUCGGACGCCUAACUUCCCUACAGACGCUUACAUACUUUGUAGCAGGUGCCGAUGGCUCUGGUUGCAGUAAUUUGGGAGAGCUGCAGAAUUCGGACCUUGGUGGUACACUGAAGCUAAGCAAGCUAGAAAAUGUGACAGGAGCAGAUGCACAAGCAGAUGCAGAAGCAGCAGGUCUUGGAAAAAAGAAAAAACUGACCGAACUGGAGUUAUGUUGGACCGAUAGUGACCAGGAAGCACAGAAUAAUAAUCAUAAAGAGGUGGUGGAAGGUCUCAAACCUCAUGAUGAGUUGAAGGCUCUGAGGAUAAAUCACUGUGGGAGCAGAACUUUUCCAACGUGGAUGAAUACUUUGAAAGGCAUGGUGAACCUGAAAUUAUUCCAUUGCAAAAAGCUCGAAGAGCUUCCUGCACUCUGGGAGCUACCAGCUCUGCAAAUUCUUGGCCUGGAGGGUUUGGAGAGUUUACAUUGUUUGUGCAGCGGUGGUACUACACUCUGGGAGUUCACAUUUCCAAAACUGAAGGUGCUUACCUUGUUAGAAAUGGCAAAAUUUGAGGCAUGGUGGGAGACACAUGAGGUACAAGGAGAAGAGCCGAUAUUUCCCAAGGUUGAGGAGCUGGAGAUUAAGGAGUGUAAAAGUUUGACUGCAUUACCAAAAGCAGCGUCGGUGAUUACAGAAUUGUCUGGCGGAGUUAACACUAAGUGCCGCUCUGCAUUUCCAGCAUUAAGGAAAAUGACGCUAGGUGGGUUGAAUAUGUUUGAAAGAUGGGAGGCAGGCGAAGGAACUCCAGGAGAAGAGGUAACAUUUCCUCAGCUCGAGGAGCUGUCAAUCUGGUCUUGUGGCAGCCUGAGUGCAUUAUCAAAAGGGCCAUUAUUGGCUAAGCAACCAUUUGGCGGAGCUGAAACUGCAACCGUUUGUCAUUAUAUUAAGAAGAAAAUACCGUUUUGGUACAACGCACGCACACGGCCUACCAGCCGCUCUGCAUUUCCAGCACUGAGAAAACUAAGAUUAUCUGAUUUGUCGGCCCUUGAGAGGUGGGGGGCAGCCGAAGGAACUCCAGGAGAAGAGGUAACAUUUCCUCUGCUGGAAGAUUUGGAAAUUCGUGGCUGCCCGAAGUUGACUGAUCUACCUGAAGCACCCAAUCUAAGUGAAUUAUCCAUGAGAAAAGGUUGUUAUCAGCAGCAAAUAUCCCUACAGGCAGCUAGCAGAUUCAUCCCUUCAUUGUCCCGUCUGGGUCUGGAUGUGUCACCCGAUGACACAGAAACAACAUUACUGAAUGUCAAGAAGAAAUUGAAUGGUACACUCGCCUUGGCAGCUAUGGGGUUAGGUCGGUGCGACCUUUUUUUCUCCUCCCGCUCAAGCGCACUGGCGCUAUGGACAUGUUUUGCACAGCUAGUAGAUUUGGAGAUUCGGUAUUGCGAUGCUCUUGUCUACUGGCCAGAAAACGUGUUCCAGGUCCUGGUAUGCCUGAGGAACUUAAAGAUUUCCAGAUGCAUCAAACUGACAGGAUGCACACAAGCUUCUGAUGAGCAAUCUGCUCCAGCUUCACAACAUGGUGGACUCCUGCCAUGCCUGGAGUCUCUAGAGAUAGAAAAUUGUGAAUCUUUGGUAGAGGUCCCCAUCCUGCCGGCAUCUCUCAAGAAAUUAUAUAUUCGCAGCUGCAGUAGUAAUGUCGGGUCCAUCGUAUUUGGUCACCCGGAGGAUACGAGAUUGCUGAGUGCAGAAGGUGUUGUACGGCCGAAGACGUCAUCAUUAAUUCCAGGGUGCAACAGCAGUGAGGCCACAGCGUCUACAGCUGUACUGAAGCUGUCAUCUGCAGCCAACCAUCACUUCCUUCCAUUUCCAUGCCUAGAAUCUCUAUAUAUAGAUUAUUGCAGUGGCUUGUCAGAGGUUGCCAAUCUUCCUCCGUCUAUCAAGACCUUGUACAUUUGUGAGUGCGGCAAGCUUCAAUCCUUUUCAGGAGACCUCCGGUUGCUGGAAGAACUCACGCUUUGUCGAUGCAAAAGACUGGUAUCCUUACCGGAUGGGCCUCAAGCAUACUCAUCUCUUAGAGUUCUUCGGAUAAUACAGGAUGGUAUAAAGUUGCUUCCACCAAGCCUACAUAGCCGUUUGGGUUACCUCGAGGUUAAAAGACUAGAUGACCGUCACGAAGGUAAUCUCCAGUUUCUUUGUUUCUUUUAACAAAAUGAUCAGGAGCUUAAUUGUUGUUGCCUAAAAUGCAACUCUGUGCUUAAACAUUCUGUUACCUAUUACAAGAUGUGGUAGGAUUCAGUGAUAAAAAUUUAACGAGCGCAAUAUUUUGAACCUUUUUAGCCAAUUGUUGUUGAUAUAUACAUUAUAUCGAGUACAAUGCACCACUAAUACCUAUAUUUAUGUGCACUUGUGUCAGUUAAAUCCAUUAACUUUCAUAUAUUGCACAUACGGGGUAUCUAAACACUUACAGCUGGAUCAAGAAGUUUAUACACCAAUAUACACUUCACUUUACUGUAGUCAUCCUUGUAUAUCUCCUUUUUGUCCGUACAAAGAAUUUAACUAUAAGAUGAUCUUUGUGGUUCGCUUUUGAUACCUUGGUUGUAAACUUGUAUUUGCUAACUCGAAUCAUGUAAUAAAAUCAAUCAUUUUCCUUUAGUCGUAUUUAAAGCAGCAUGGCAUCAUGGAAUUAUUGCAGCCGAAUUCACUAGCUCCAAUUAAAGUGGCACUUGUCUUGGCGUUUCUCUGGAAAUUCAGUAGCUCCAUUGCAUACAGUUCAAGUAUGUGUAGUUUUGUUUUCAUGGCUUAUGCCUUUUGACAUAAAUAAUAAUUUUCUUUUGAAACAUUUACUAUUGGGUGCCACAGCAUAUUCUCCUGUGUAUAUAUACUUUCUAACAUCAUCUAUGAUCAUGGCCUGAUUGCCAGAACCAACCUGGAAACGUUCAAUCAGGAAGCUGGUGUGCUCGAAAUAGUAGAUCAAGGCCUGACCAAAGAAAAAGUUAUUCAAGGUAUUUUUGCAAAGAUAUCACUAAGGUUUUUAAUAUUAGUGUUCUUGAUGAUUGAUUUGAAAUGAUGCUAGCUCCUAAUGCUGACUUUCUAUGCGCUGUGACUUCCUUGUAGGAUCGUGCCAGAAACGAAGACCUUUAUUUUGAGCAGAAGCGAAGUUCUAGACUGCAAGCAGAAGAAUUUAGCAUACAGAGCUGCGGGCUCCAGUCUUUUAUCCUUAUUUUUAUUUCUUUUGAGCCAUGACGUGUUUGCAUUCGUGUCUGCUUCAGCCUCCAACACAAGCGAAACACAGGCAGCACUUUCAUUUUAUGAUUUGUUUAUCCACAUACAUGACCGACUGCCGUAGAGUAGACCAACAGUCCAACGUACUCAUGUAGCUCGACAAGCUAUCCAAGCUGCUGCUUUAUAUGAACUGAAAGUGCUGAAUUUUCUCCUGCAUCCUGGAAGGCUUUGGAUGGCACGGUCUUGUGCAGAGGUCUCAUUGUUGUUAACCUGUUUCUUCAAAACUGCAUGUACAGCAACAUUUUCUCCUGGCAGUGCUGCAAUGGAAUUGAAAAGAAUGGUGAUUCUUAUUAUAGUAUAAUUGUGAUGUAUAGGCUGGGACGCAAAGCGAUGAAUGUACAUGCAUGAGCAAGGAAGAAGGGGAUGGAACAGAACAGAGCAAGAACGAACUGCCAGAGCAAGAAGAUGAACGUUAUCUGUAUAGAUAAAAAAUUUUAAUAAAAAUUUUCAUGAGUUAUCCUUUGUCUGGGGCUACAGUACCAAUCCUGCAUUUCGAAUUUGGGACUGCCCUCCUUCAUGGUGUGAUCCAAAUUUCAACAAAAAUUAUCGUAGUGUGGCUACGGUUGUUUCAUACGAUAACUGUCAAUGACACGGUGGCACAUGCAGCUGCGCACGUAGGACAGAACCGCCAACUCACCCCGCCACGUCAACUCCUCUCAACAGCGAUGCUCCCCAAGCGAGCAGAGCAGCGAAGCCCGCCUCGAAAUCUCCGCCACCCCCAUCGAACUUGCCACACGCCACCACCACGGGAUCUCCCUCCACAGUCUCCGCUCCCACUCCCCCGCCACAGCCAUGGCCGCCGCCGCAGCAGCGCACUCCCUCCUGCACCCACCGGCGGCCCGCAAGGCCCCCACAAGUUCUUCCUCUCCUUCCCCUUCCCCAUUCCUCCGCCUCCCGGCCCCCGCGCGCCCGCGCCUCCCGCUACGCCUCCGCUCCACCUCCCCGGCCGCCGCCUCCGACCUCACCGACUUCCCCAACCCGAACGGCAUCCUCGCGCCCAUCGACGUGGACGCCGCCACGGAGGCGGAGCUUCGCGAGAACGGGUUCCGGAGCACGCGCCGCACCAAGCUCGUCUGCACCGUGGGCCCGGCCACCUCGUCGCCCGAGCAGCUCGAGGCGCUCUCCGUCGGCGGGAUGAACGUCGCCCGCCUCAACAUGUGCCACGGGGACCGGGAGUGGCACCGGGGCGUCAUCAGGGCAGUCAGGAGGCUCAACGAGGAGAAGGGCUACGCCGUCGCCGUCAUGAUGGACACCGAGGGCAGCGAGAUCCACAUGGGGGACCUCGGCGGCGCCUCAUCGGCCAAGGCGGAGGUGAGGUGCUGUGCUUGUAUGUAAGCUGCUGUCCAGUUUUGGACUUGGCGUUGCAGUUUUCAGUUUUCAGAUUGUACGCCUUCACUUGAACGUAUUCCGUGAAAUGUGCUUGUGCAAUGUGGAUGAGAGGAACGGGUGGUGGCAGUGGCAGUGUCAGGCAUUGCCGUUUCAUACUUCUGCAAAACCUAGCGAGUCAGGAUUUCACCAAAAUGUUUUUUUUCCAUCUUCAAAAUGGCUCAGUUGAUUUAGAUUUUCAGCUCAUGUUUGAAAUUGCUAUAGAAGGAGAAUCAUUCAGAAUUUCAGAUUGUCAUCAAACACUGGAUUGUGAAAGUGGUAAUCAUUUUCAAGGCUUUCAAUCUUUCAAAAAAAAAUCAAGGCUUUCAGUAUCAGUGCAACUCAAAUAAAGUGCAUGGUAAACAUCACCAUGUUUUGGCUUUCUCUGCAUAUAAGACAGGGUGCUGGAGUGGUUCGACCGCGUUGAGGUCCCAAUCCAACCGGUCGGGUUUUUUUCUAGGUGUCAAGUUUGAGUGCUUACCCGUAUUGACAUCCCAAUCCAACCGGGCGAGUCUUGUUUAUUUUUCGUUUCUUUUCCUUUUCCUGCCUAUGGCCUCCCAGGGCUGUAGUCUUGUAUUUUCUGCUAUAUCAAUACAAACUCGCACUAUCUUGUGCGGUUCGUUCAAAAAAAAAGUGAUAGGCAUUGAGGUUCUGAAGGUUGUUUUUUAGAUCUUAGGCCCAAGCCUCAAAUGGCUUUUUUCCCCCUGUUGCAAACCUUCCUUUAAGUAUUGCAUCUAGCACCGGGGAAAACACAGGAAUAUCUUUCAUUUCAGCAACAGAAUCUCUUAUAAAAAGGGCGUACCCAGUGCGAAAGCUCCCACACAAGGUGGGGUCUGGGGAAGGGAAUUCCUAGACAACCUUAUCCUUGCAAUAUUCUUUUAAAAUUCUGCAAAGAGGCUGGUUCGAACCCAGGACCUCCGGGCCACAAGUGGAGAGUUUAAUUUGAAUUAGCUUUAUUAGUAGAAUGCUUGGCCCAUUUAUUGGUAAAUGGUAAAAUUCAUAAAGAUUAUCCUUAUUCCGUUAAUCAAUUUUAGGUGUUUAACUUGCAGCAAAUUCGAACAAUGACAGACAUGCAGCAUAUUGUUAGUUCAUCUGUAAGACUUAGCUUGCUGGUUUAAUGCUUUGUUAAAGGUUUGAAGUUAAUGUGUCUACUGGUAGCUACUGAAUCUCUUUAUAGUUUAUUUAUAUCUUUUUUCUUUAUUAGUAUAAAGCCAUGUAGAAGUUUUCAGAAUACUGAAAUUUCUAGUGUUCGUUUUGUGGAGUCUCUCCACCUACAUCCUUUUUUACAACUGCAUUUCAGAUCCUUCAGUUAUAGCAUGAAUAUUUUUUAAAAAAGAAACUUCUAGGUAUAUUCUUGCCCGUAGUUAAUGUUAGUGUCUGAUGAUAGUUGUGUUUUAGAUAAUACAUUAAUAUUAGUAAUCCAAAGAAACUGAACUACUUCUAUGAUUCUAACUGUCAUCAGUGCUAGCUAGGGUCACUAUGCCAAAAGGAGAUUAUAUCACCAUUCGGCUGUUUAUCUUAAGUUUUUAACCAUACAGUCAGAAGUUUGAUUGUACACCUAUUCAAUAAUCCUAGGUUUUCUUGAGCCACGUUAUUUACCCAAUGACUUCCAUUUUUCUUGGAAUUAAAACAUUUCUGAAGUAACUAAUAAAUCAUCUCACAUUUGUUGGAUUCCACAGGAUGAAGAAGUCUGGACAUUUAGUGUUAGGUCAUUUGAAUUGCCUCUCCCAGAACGAACUAUUAAUGUGAUUAUGACGGGUUUGCUGAAGGUAUAUAAGCUGACCUAUUUGUUGAUAUCUUUCGCUGUUAUUGUUCACUGCCAUAAUUUUGCAUCAAAAUCCUACACAGAUGUGAGAGUUGGUGAUGAGCUUCUUGUGGAUGGUGGAAUGGCUCGGUUUGAGGUGAUUGAGAAGUUGGGACCAGAUGUUAAGUGUCGCUGCACGGAUCCUGGUUUAUUGUUGCCACGUGCGAAUCUUACAUUCUGGCGUGAUGGCAGUAUUGUCCGUGAGAGGAAUGCUAUGCUUCCUACAAUUUCAUCAAAGGUAAAUGCAGUAGCAUAAUAAAUUUCUUGCUGCAAUUACCAAAAGACCGCAAAACUUUGUUAAUCUAUGCCCCCCCUUGGUACUAGUAUUGCAAUGGAUUUACAGCUUGUUUUUUCUGUCAAUGCCAUGGUCAGUUCAAAACAACAUGUAUUAGUUCAAAGCCUUACAUUGUGCACUGAAACUCAUCUCUCGAUAGUUUUUGUCAGCUAUUUCUUAAGAAGGCUUCUACCACCUAGAGUUGUUUAACUGAAAAUUUAAUCUUCUAGUAGCAGAUACUAAUAUUUUAAGUUUAUAACAAUGCUGCUCCUUUUCUUGUGACAACUUGUGCAGGAUUGGCUUGACAUAGACUUUGGAAUUGCCGAAGGUGUAGAUUUCAUCGCUGUUUCAUUUGUCAAGUCAGCAGAAGUAAUUAAACAUUUUAAAAGCUACAUAGCUGCAAGGAGCCGUGGCAGGUACCAGGAGUAUAAUUCUGUACUGUUAUUUAAGUUUAUGCUUUCUUGGAAAAGCCAUAUUUGACAUUAUUAAACUGAUAACGGGUGUUCCUAGAACUGUUCUGCAUGCUUAGCCACUGUUUGUGGUUGGUUCCUGGUCAGUCCCAGAUGAUUACUCAUACUGGUAGGGUUUUAGUUGUAUUCUAACCCCCAAAAAAUCAGCCUGGAAUAUAUUGGUUUCUAUGUAGUUACUAGAGAAAACAGUGAAUCAACAAGAUAUCCCCUUUCUGGUGUUCCUCCUUUUCUAAAUAAUGCUGUGGAACAACAUGAUUCACGGAAGAAUAAUAAGAACUGUUUAAAAUUGUAUGGCUUGCCUCAACCUGGUGUCUUCUCUGUGCCAAAAAAACAACACUUGGUGUCAGGUGUCAUCUCAGCACCUACAAUUCAUCUGCAUGCACUAGAAAAAUUGUGUGUGUGUAGCUCCUGCCAAAAUUGCCAGUUUGCCAUUGUACGUCCAUCUCAUGUUUUGUGGCUAAAACUCAGUUAGUGACACAAAAAGUUACCUAGAUUAAAAUCGCUAAUCCCAAACCGCAAGUGAUAUCAAUCUUGCUAUGUUAUCUUUUAUACUUCAAUUAAUUGGGCCUUGCAAACAUCCAAAUCAGAAAGGAUUGCUAGUACCGUGUUUCUGAAAUGUUUCCUUCAUUUUGCUGAACUUUAUAGGUUCCUUACUCUAAUAAUGCUUUAUUUUAUAUGAUCAGUGAUAAGCAGUCAUUGCGAAAAUUGAGAGCAUUGACUCUUUAAAGAACCUGGAGGAGAUCAUCCGAGCAUCAGAUGGUGCCAUGGUAGCCACUCUGGAUAUGGGGGCACAGGUUCCCUUGGAGCAGGUCCCCUCAAUACAAUAAAAGAUAGUUCAACUGUGCAGGCAGCUCAACAAGCCAGUCAUUGUUGCUUCUCAGCUCCUUGAAUCAAUGGUCGAGUAUCCUACUCCCACAAGGGCCGAAGUUGCCGAUGUUUCUGAAGCUGUCCGCGCCAGCGUGCGGAUGCUCUAAUGCUUUCUGGUGAGUCAGCAAUGGGAAGAUAUCCAGAGAAGGCUCUUAGUGUUCUGAGGAGCGUUAGCCUCAGGAUUGAGAAGUGGUGGCGGGAGGAGAAGCGACAUGAGGCACUGGAACUUCAAGGUGUUUCAUCUUCAUUCUCUGACAAGAUAUCAGAAGAAAUCUGCAACUCGGCAGCUAAAAUGGGUAAGUACUGCCACCAUCGUAUUCAGUGCAUACCAUAGUUAUGUUGUCAUAGCAACUGAUAUAGCAGCUGACGCCAUCUUUGUUUUCACAAAGACUGGCCACAUGGCCUCCUUGCUCUCACAGUGCCGUCCUGACUGCCCAGUUUUCGCCUUCACAACAUCGACGUCCGUCAGGAGGCGGCUAAACCGUCAGUGGGGCCUCAUCCCAUUCCGCCUCAGCUUAGCAACUGAUAUAUUCAAUUGCUUUGCUGUCUCAUCUUCCUAUUAUUGUCCAUUAUCUUGGUUACUGACAGAACAUUUAGAUUCCAUUUUCUUAGAAGCUGUGUCUAAACAAAACCAAUUUCAUCUGCAGCUAACGGCCUGGGAGCUGACGCCGUCUUUGUUUUCACAAAGACUGGCCACAUGGCCUCCUUGCUCUCACGGUGCUGUCCUGACUGCCCAGUUUUCGCCUUCACAACGUCGACGUCCGUCAGGAGGCGGCUAAACCUUCAGUGGGGCCUCAUCCCAUUCCGCCUCAGCUUCUCAGACGACAUGGAGAGCAACCUGAACCGCACCUUCUCCCUGCUAAAGGCCAGGGGCAUGAUCCAGUCUGGCGACCUGGUGAUCGCCCUCUCUGACAUGCUGCAGUCCAUCCAGGUGAUGAACGUACCCUAAGAAAGAGCCUAAUCCUCUGUGGGAUGAUCAUAUGAGAUGGAAGAUGGACCAUGAACUUUAUCGGCACCUUGAAGGACAGUUCCUUGCACCAAAAUUAUUCGCUUUCACCCUGUAUUAGAUGCUGGGCAGGACUAGAGAACUGUGGCAAUAAUUUGCAGCUUUGUGCCCUGCUGUAAAACUGUUAUAUUACUAUUAGCUUUAUUUAUAGUCUGACCUUGGGGUGACUCUUUAAUGUGCAAGCUUUGGGUCUUGCUGUGGGCCGUAAUGGGCUUAUAAGUGAAGCGCAGGGAGAAGAGGAAGAACCCGCUGAAGAACAUGGCUGCUGUGCUCAAGCUCAACCCCUACCUCGGCACUGCCCGCAAGAUGGCUACCCUCGCUAAGGUUGCCCACAUCAAGGCAAGGAAGGAGAAGCUCGAAUCCAAGAGGACCAAGCUUAGCCCGGUAUGACCAUUUUUCUCCCUCCAUUUCAUUUCUGAUUAUGUCAAUAAUACCUGAAUUGAUCACUUAGAUUGCACAUGUAGUUCUGGUGUACUGUUUAUGACUUGUAGUGUUUGCUAUGGUACAUUUUCUGCCCCUUGUAUGAAUGGUUUAAUUUGUUUGAUGUAUCAUAAUUUGAGCAAAUUUCAUUGCUUGAAAGUAUUAGUACUGGAGUUCUGUGUGAAUAACAUGAUUCUGCUGUAGUGAUUCUUGUUGUUGUUUAGUUAUGUGCAUUGAUCUAAUGUUGUGCCAACAAAUAUUCUUGUAAUUGCGCGUUUGUGCUGUAUCAGUAUGCAUGGGUAAUCUAGUUUGUCAUUGUUUACUAUUUGCUCAGGGUGUUUCGGUACCCUUAAUUGCUUUUAGUAAGGCAUUUGUCUAUGUUCUGUUCCAUUUCUUUAUAUGCUAGUAGAUAUCUGAGCAAUUGUUUGUUCUACUCUUUUCUUAGAAAUGAUUUAUGGUACUGGAAGCUUCGGUAAUCUUUGCAUAUAUGGCAUAUGACAUGCCCUGGUAACUCAUGGGUCAGGGUUUAUCUUGAAUGUUUUAGUUCGAUCCCUCUUGUUGAUUUGUGUUCUGAAUUGGUAACUUGGGACUAUGCCUUGUUAGAAUGUGAUGAAUAGAUUGAUGUUUUACUAAGCGUUUUGAUUACAGAAUACUAGAAUGAAUGUUAUUACAUUAUCCAUGUUUCGAACUGAAUCCCAAAAUUUACUGAAUCCCUUCACAUCCAUAUAUCUCCUGAAUAUUUGUUUAACUGUAUAGUUUGAUAUGUUUACAUUGUUGUCAAGAUUCUUUGUUGCAUGCCCAUAUAUCUUCUGAACACUACAGAACUGACCAAUAUGUGAACUACUGUUGGUUUAAUGUAUCAGAUGCUGAUUAUUUCGUUCAGCUGUAUGCCCUUUUGUCAACAAACACGUACUGAACAAUAUCUGUAGAUCCAUUGUUGUAGGAGGAGGCUGCCAAGGUCAAGGCUGCUGGAAAGGCAUGGCACAGGACCAUGAUCUCAGACAGCGACUACACCGAGUUUGAGAACUUCUCAAAGUGGCUCGGCGUGACUCAGUGAGCGGGUGCUAUCUAGUUAAGUUUUGAGUAGUAGUGUGGCUGAACUUAUCUCGAGAGGGUUUAUCACUUUGUUUUAUCCUGCAUCAUCAUAAGAAUUCAAUCUGUGGGAUUUUAAGACAAGUCUUCCUUUUUGUUAAUGCGUUGCUGUGAAAUCAUUCUAGUAAAUAUUCACCUUGACGAUCUUUUGGAAGGACAGCGACCACAAAAAUUAUGAAUUGGGUAGAUGGAGGAUUUAUGUGCUGUAUUGAGAGAGCCCGUAGGUGCUAGAUUUCUCCGGAAACGUUCGAUUUAAGCUUGUAGAUAUUGUGAUGAAUCCCGUCACCAUUUUCCCAUGAAACAUUCUGAAAGUUCUGGUAGUGGUAUCCACUGCUGCAGUUUUACAAGCAUGUAGGGUUGUUCCUCUGUUUGUUGAUUAGGUAUUAUGUUUUGCACAGUCUUAAAGUUUAGAAGGUAAUUACCCAGGUGUUCAAGUAUACCUUCAAGUUUUUUUUUACACAGUGUACAUAUUACCUUGUUAUAGUGAGAACAGAGAAGUCCACCGCAAAAGUAAAGCCCAGCAUAUAUUGUUCUUGCAAUAGACCAUGUGUGUAUAUGCCCCUUUGUAGGUUGAUUAUUCCAUUCAGAACAUAGCAUGGACCUCUAUAGUGUUUUGGAUAAAUUUUUUUAUUAUAAAGGUACUUGCCGAGGCACCAAUUUGGGAGUCUGCGGGGUAAAAUGUUCCCGGCGUACUUCAUAUUGAUAUCAGUGUGUUCAGCGAUAUCUGUUGCAGCAUUUGCAUACCUGCAUGGAUUCCUUCUUUCGGCCCUUAUCUGUAACCUUUCAAACCUUCUGGUCAUCACACCUAUGAUGGUUGAAGUAAAAUACUUUGUUUGUGGCCUUGAGCUUUUUACUACCUCUCGUUUUGCAUUUGCCAGAUGCUAGUGUGCUAGUUAUACAGAAUAUCACAAAAUUAUAGUUUGAGUAUGUGAUAAUAUCGGUACUAAUGAAUGGAAUCUUACACUUUUGAUAUGCAAUUUUGAGAUUUACUUUGCUGAUGGUAGUAGAGGUAUGUAAAGCAAAAGAAAGUUACUUUUAAAUUAUUAGUUAUAUGGUUAUAUUUUAUAGGUCAGCGAUUUCUGAGUACUAGUCAUAGCAGCGCUCACAGGAAUAUACUGACUUGUUCUUUAUUUUAUUUUCAAGAAUUAAUACAGAUAGCAUAAAGCAGAAUCCAGUCCAUGAAUAGUUAGCGAUCUAGCAUCUGGAGGUGAAAAUCUAGCUUGGUUAGAACUUAGAAGCAUAGUUGUGGAUAAAAUUUGUGGGAAUCUAAUUUGACAAAACAAGUAGACAUGUCUGGCUGCAUAUAUGAACCUUUCAAACUGCAUCUUAUUGUUUCUGAGAUCUGAUUGGUGUUUUUUCCACAUUUGCAUUGUAGCACACAUCACUUGGAUAUUGUUUUAGAGAGCAAACUUGACAAUCGAGAUAUCUUGAUUGCUGAAAUCGAUGCUGACAAUGUUCUGUUAUUUGAGUAGGAUAGGGGUUAUACAUAAAAAAAAUAAGAAGAGAGAAUGUGCCUUGCAGGCUUGUACUUUGGUUGGUUGAGCAUUGCUCUUUGUAGUUUGCGCUUUAAUUUUCACCUGUGCCUAUUGAAUUGCUCUCUUUCACCUAGAUGAUGAUGAAGAGGUACAAGAUAGAAGGACCUCGUGAGGCCGGGUACUCCAAGAAUGAGGAGAUGGCCAAGAGGAACCCUGCCCUGGCGGCAAUCAGUCAGAAGUUCAGGAUGAUCCACGUGCUGUCGUCACUGGCCAGCCCCAUGUCCUUCGGCAGCCUGGCCAUCCACUCCUGAUACCUCCCCAGCAAGCUCGACCCGUGACUGCCUGACCGAGUGUUAGCUGGUGCCUGGUGAGUGGUGACCUACGAACUCUGAACUUAGCCUAGGUUUCUGUGGAGAAAAAAGAAGUCAUGUCUGUGCAAGAACAUUGGUCCUCGGGAUGAUAUGAUUAGCCUUUAAUAAUGUACAUAAUGCAGGAAGUUCGUUUCAUUUUGUAAUUUGUGUAUAGGAAAUGUGUCUGUGGCAAAUUCCUGAUAUUUUACAGUCAAGAAAUGCAGCUAAACAUGGUCUCUCGGCUCAUGGAGCUUGGGUACAAAGAAAUGACUAGGAUCUUCUGGAACUUUUAGAAUGCCUACUAUCUGAAAAAAAAAUAUUGGCCAGAGAUGACGAGUUUGGUAUGCAUUCCUGAACACUGGUUUCUCUUGUCUGGUGGUCCAAAACCAUAUGGCGUUCCUUCAUCUAGGCCAAAUCUAUUAUAUUCACUUUCUGAAGAUAAUAUCCAGUGAAGCCAAGCCGAAGUCUAGAAAACAAGUCCACAUUGCAAACUGAAGAAUUUAGCAUAUGGAACUCCAUGCUCUAGUCUUUCAUCCUUCUUCAAGCUGAAGUCCUUGAUUUUGAUCACAAAACAAGUCCCAGACUGCAAGUUGAAGAAUAUAUAGCAUAUUGAUCGAGCUCCAUGCUCCAGCUUUUUAUCCUUAUAUUUUCUUUUGAACUAUGGCGUGUUUGAACUCUGUGUCCGCUCCAGCGUAAGCAAAACACAUACACAGCUAGCACUUUCAUUUCAUGACGUGUUUGUCUACAUUACUGCAGAAGUACUUGCCAUAGAAUAGGUCAACAAUCCAACAUACUACUACUCAUGUUGUUGUUCGACAAGCUGUCUAAGCUGCUGCUUGAAUACGAACUGAAAGUGCUGAACUUUGUCCAUGUUAUGUUGGUAGUAUAUCUAAUACUGAACGGUGUGCAGGGUGAUCCUGCAAGGCUUUUAGAUAGCACGGUCUUGUGCAGAGGUUACGUCUGCUCUGUUUCUUCAAAGUUACGUCUGCUCUGUUUCUUCAAAGUUACGUCUUGCAAUUGCCGUAACAUUUCUGCUGGUAAUUCUGUAAUCUCUACUAUAAAAAAAGCAAAGAGGACACAAAAAUGCGGUCCGUCGUUUGGCCGCCGGGCGAUGUCCCUCGCUCCAGACAUUUUGGGCCGUCCGCUUGCAGCACCCUCCGCGCGCAGCCGUUGAUUUGGAGAUUCCGUGAGUUGCGGUGCACGCGCUUCCUCCUCUGUCCGUUUCCCUCCGCGCGGAUCCCUUCCUCCUGCGGUCCUGCCCAUGCGUCGCCAUCCGCCGCCGACGCAACUCCCUCAGUCGCGCCGCCUGCCGCCGCCGCCGCCACUCCCUCCGUCGCCGCAACUUCUCCCUCCCUGCGUCGCCAUCCGCCGCCGCCCCUCCCUUUCUUCACCUCCGCGCCGCCAGAAACCCCCGUCCCUGCCUGCGUCGCCAUCCGCCACCGCCCCUCCCUUUCCUCGCCUCCGCGCCGCCGGAAGCCACCGCCCCUCCCUUUCCUCGCCUCCGCGCCACCAGAAGUCACCGCCCCAUCUUGAGUCGCCUCAUCGCCGCAAGCGACUCCGCCCCUCCCUGAGUCGACGGAACACCAACAGUCGAGGCUACGCUGCACGCCAACUAGAUUUCUCAGUUCGUUGGGUUUGAUCACGGUACCUCUCAGUUUCUUAGUUUGUCGUGCAUCUGAACUUUGUGUGACGUUCAUGUUCUUGUCAUUUGAUUUGUUUGGUCGGUGUUCAUGUUCUUAGAAUCUGGUGCUACGUGACAUUAUAGGCGGUGUUGUGUUUUCUGAAUUGUCGGCGACUUGAAAAUUUGAGAUUCAGAUCGUGAUUUGUUUAGGUGGACAAUUAAAAUUUGAUGAUAUGUCCUUCCCGAGAGCGAAUUGCGCGCGCACAGCGGCGGCAAUGGCACCGCCGCGUUCGCACCUGCUGCCCGCCUUGCUCGUCCUGAAUUGUCGGCGACUUGAAAAUUUGAGAUUCAGAUCGUGAUUUGUUUAGGUGGACAAUUAAAAUUUGAUGAUAUGUCCUUCCCGAGAGCGAAACGUAUUAACUGUGGUAAUUGAGGAUGGUAGAGAUAAUUUACUCUGCAUGUAAACUGAGGACUGAGAUUCAAGAGUAAUCAUAGAACACGUAGACCACAUUGACUGGAAAAUUAGUCCUCUCCAAUUUUUGCUGAUCUGUCCCUGAUAGUACAUAAUUAUUUUGCCACUUUUUGUGCAAGCUUAUCGAUGUACGAAUUCAUAAUGGAAAGUAAGGAUUGCGAUAGUAGGGAUUGGGAUAUUUGUUAUGCUUAUCGAUGCUUAUGGCAAUGCUUCAUAAAAGUAGUAUACACCGCCGUGCACUUCGAAUUCAUGAUGGACAGUAGGGAUUGUGAUAUGUGAUAUGCUUAAGGCAAUGCUUCAUAAAAAGAGUAUGCACCUCCGAGCACUUCAAGUGUACUCUGAUGCACACACAAGCACACAGUUCUAGAUGGUUAAGCCGGUCUGUGAUUAGCAAGAUUUUCAUGAGAAUGGUAUCAGUUAUCAGACAUUCUGUGAUAUCUUGAAUGGAAAAAUAAAAUCAAAAAGGAAAGCACGAUAAAUAGAUAAUUUUUCUUGAAUUCUCCCAUAUUCAGAAAAUUGACUGACCGAGUGUGGAUAACUCCUUUUUUUUGUUACUUGGACCUCAGUUGGCCUUUAUAUUACUCUGAAUAUGUAAGAUUUCAAUAAACAGUAAAUUUGAGGAGGAUUUGCUAUCAUCUUUUGAAUCGUUCAUCCCGGUGGCAGAUUUCUUGAUUGCCUUAAUUGGGGCUGCCCCAGUUAAUGAGAACUAAAUAGCUCUCAUGAUGAAAACAAGUGUUAUUCAUAACAGCUACUUGUAGUGAUGGUGUCUGGCAGAGUACCUUGCUUAUCCAGUGCUUUCCUGUGACAUUCCAUUUUGCUUUUCUCUUGAAGGGUGUUUAUGUUCGUCGGGUUGUGCCUACUGCUCCAGCAAGCAGUGUUUUGUGAAAGGUAACAUGUAGUAAUUAGAUCCAGUUCACAUAUUGAAUACCUUUGGUUGUCCUCCAAUUUUUGCUGAUCUAUCCCACAUAAUUUUUCUUCUUUUUUCCACACAAUUUUUCUUCUUCUUGCCACAUAAUUUUUGCGGCUACCAUGUUUGACAAUAAAAAUUGGUAUACAGUCAUCUACAAAAAUCAUCCCCUGGAUACAAAUAGUACAUCCCCCUGGUACAAAUAGUACAUCCCCCUGGUUAGCAAUUUUGCAGAUGUAGAAGUACAGUUCCAUUACCGGUUAACCACUAUCUACGUUUUUAUUUUCACUAGGAGUUACAUUAAAAUAAUUCAUUCAUAUGUUCUGUAUAAAGGAAUAGACAAAAAUGGCACCACUUUGUUUUACCUAUGUACAAAUAACUGUCUGAUUGGAUAUUACAACAACAAACAAGAAAAGGCUUCAUGAUCAUUUGAAUUAGAACUACAACCUAAAAAAUAAAUGAUCUGUCCAGUUAUUAAUAUUCUGGUUUCAUACUGCAAAAUAGAAAAGUGAUUAAAACAAGUCCAAGUAAUCUGUCCUGCUGCACUUUCUUAUCUAUAAUCCUGAUGCCAAUUUGUUUCAUGUGCCUGGAAGUGAUGGGAGAAGGUGCAGGAGAAGGAUUUAGAAGUUCUUAAUUUGCAGGUGCAAUUUUUUUAUGUGACGCAUCUAUGUGACGCUUGACUUAUCUUAUUUCCAAAAUCUAACACUUCAUACUCGUGCUAAUGAUUAGAACCUGAUGAUUGGGAAGCUGAUGAGGAUGUCGAUCUCGAGACAGCUAAUGAAGAUUCCAACAAACCCGAUGUACCGGAUCCAAACGAUGCGGUUUAUGCCAAUGUCCCUGACGAGACACACAUGCUCAAGCUAGAGGAUAACUGCAAGCACUGCAAUGCAAAGAAGUUUGAGUCCGAGCCACCUGGAUUCUGUUGUCAUAGUGGAAAGAUUCAUCUUUCCACCCCUGAGACACCACCGGAACUCGUGAGACUGUGGUUGAGCUCGGACGCUGAUGCUAGGCAUUUCCGUGCAAACAUCAGAUAUUUCAAUGAACACUUCUCUUUCACUUCUCUGCACUGUAAACUUGAUCGUGUGACCACCGACAUGACAAACUGUGGAAUUUACACAUUUCGUGCCCAUGACCAAAUCUACCAUAACAUAUGAUCAUUUGGUAAAGAGGAUGGUCACGAACCUGGACACCUCGAGCUUUAUUUUUACGACGUCGAUCUGUCUCUUGAGCAUAGGCUCCGCAAGUGCCGUGAGAAGUCUGCCCAAUACAUGGCAUUAAUCCCUGCUUAGAGAAUCUUAGGAGUAUAGGCCAGGUUGACAACCUUGAGGAUUACUCUGUCGAGUUGAACCUUGACCAACGGCUAGACCAGAGAACAUAUAAUGUGCCAUUAACGUCGUUGCUGCCGUUUGGAUUGAGGGGAGCGAGCGUCGGGUCCAGUUCGAUAAUAGUGCUGUCCUCCAAAGGAAGGAUAGGUCGAUCCAUGGUAUUCGGCCCUAUCGUGUGUGCUACGAUGCUCUCUCAUACCUGCUAUUCUUUCCAAGAGGUGAGCUCGGGUGGCACAACUGCAUUCCAAAAGUUGGUGUGACUGAGGUUGAAGUAAAUAAAGCUCGAGCGAUCUGCAAGGCGCGUGCUGAUGGUGGUGGCGACAAUGAUGCUGGUAAAUUCAUAUGUCAUUAUAGUGUCUUACAAACAUUAGACAAAAUUUCCGCAUGUCGUCAAUCACGGCCGCCUUUUUUUGGUUCGUCGUUUGGCUUCGUUUGUCUGCCACGCCGCUCAGUUUUUCACAAGAACAGUCCGUCUCCCCGCCCACGUUCGCCGACAGACGCACCUCACCUCCUCCGUGCUGAACCCGGCCGCACCUCCUCCAUCCGCCCUCCGCCACUUAGCCAAGCCGUGCCUCACCUCCUCUGUCCUCCGAGCGCGGAACCACGCCUGCGCUUUCCCCGCCUGGCCGCACCUCCUACCUGCUACGCUCGGCCGCAGCUCCUCUGUUCGCCGCCAAGCCGGGCCACCUCCGUCCGCUGGGCGUCCAACACCGGCGCGCCACUGCCCAGCUACCCCUCCACACCCCUCCACACCGGCGCCAUCCCCGGCUGCUCCUCCAUGAAGGG
rnacentral:lncRNA from 1 species